rnacentral:lncRNA from 1 species
GCAGAGAUGCUCAAGAUGAAUAGGCGAGGGCCGCUCCAAAAGAUAAGGAAAGGGAGAAUGCAAAGUGUGCGNNNNNNNNNNNNNNNNNNNNNNNNNNNNNNNNNNNNNNNNNNNNNNNNNNNNNNNNNNNNNNNNNNNNNNNNNNNNNNNNNNNNNNNNNNNNNNNNNNNNCUGCUGGCCGGAGUUAGGGGCGAACUCCGGCGGGCUCCGGCCAGUGGGAGGCUCCGGCGAGGGCACGGGGAGGCUGACAUGGGAGGAGCUCGGGAGGAGGAGAGUCACGGGCAUGGGAAGAUUUGGUCCGUCGGAUCUUGGAUCUGACGGUCCAGAUCGCCCAGAUCGGAUCUGGAGGAGGAGGAGAUAGUGGUGGGAGGAGAAAAUGGCUCGGUUAGGGUUUCGGGAAUUGCACGCUUUCCAAGGCAGGGUUAGGGGAGACCUAAAAUGGAAGGGGAGGUGUGUUUAAAUAGGAAAGGGGGGCUAGGUUAACCGGAAUCGCGUUUCGGAUCCAACCGCGGGGUCGGAUUCGGACGAUUCCGAACGCGGGUAUGGGUGCGCGGUCGUGUAGAGGGGAUAUCCGGAGACGAGAGGGAGAACGGGCGGCGCGGCACAAAUUUUUAGAACACCGACAAACGUCCGACGGUAGACCGAAUACGGUGCCGCUAGGGACGACCGUUCUGGUACCAGACGAACUCCGAUCGCGACGAAUUUCGACAGGCGGCCUAGCUAUAACUAAUCGCGACUGCAUGCCAAGUUUCACCCCGAUCAGAGAAAGUUUUACGCACACUUUUUAAAAGAGGGUUACGACGGUGCCGCGAGUGCGUCUGUGUGUGGUCGGACUCAGGACGAACAACGACGUUGACCGGCAACUAACAACGGGUGCAAGUUUUGAAAACGGGCGGCAACGGGGACGCCGAUGCAAUGCAGAUGAUGUGAAUGAUGCGAUGAUGAUGCGACAAAUGAAAAUACCCACACGACGAAAACAGAAAGAGAGGGGAAUCUUCUGGAACGUCGGCAUCGGGCUGUCACAGCUUCCCAUGCGAAGGUCUGGUUUGUAAGGGGCUUGUGCCAAAGCUUGUCCCAAAUUGGCCAUUUUUGACCAUGGCAGUGCCAUGUCAUGACACCAUGCGAAGUUAUAUGAUUUUUUGACAUGUUGUUAAUUUACAUGAAUUUAAAACCAGAGUUUCUCAAUGUUUGUGUGUCCGAGCCAAGACACCGAGAUGCCUGAUAUGCAUUCCAAUUUCUCAUAUGGGACCUAAAGAUGCAACCAUGUACACAUAUACGAUUUUUAACCCAUUUUGAUGCACCAGACCUCGUGGUUUUAGUUCAAAUUUUAAUUAUGCAGAUUAAACUCCUAUAAAACUCAAUUAGUGUAUAAAAAGGCCAAUCAAAACAUGUAUAAGUCCAUAUUUUAGCACGACACUCUUGUUGCUCUAUGUUGCCUCUAGAAAUAGUUCAAGGCGAGAAAAGGCAUCAGAUGUCGUCUCGCGUGCAUAAGGUUGUGUGUUCCAUAACGGAACUAGAAAGCUUCCCAUGAGAAGCUCCGGUUUAUCAGGAGCUUGUGCAAAACUUGUCCCAAGUUGGACAAUUUUUUUACGACAGCACAUAUGGGCCAUGUCAUGACAGCAUGCCAAGUUUAAUGCAUUUGUGACGAGUUUUUGAUUUACAUGAAUUUAAAACCCAAGUUUCCGAAUGUUUGGGGCCGAUCCAAGAUCCCGAGUUGUUUGAAAUUCAUUCUCAGAUCUUGCAUGGGACCUAUUGAUGAAACUAUGUACACUUAUGUAAUGCUCAAGAUGCAAUCCUAUCCUUAUUUCGGCUCGAGGGCUUGGAUAGGGAUAGAAGCGCAUUUCGUUGUUUUGCAAGAAUGGAUAUCGUUACAAGUACAUGUACAAAAGAGAUGAGUAUAUGGACACUCGCCACAAGCUACAUCAAGGUUACAACAAUACAAUAACAUAUUCAAUCACUAUGUAGAAGAGCAGGGUCCGACUACGGACGAAAACUAUCGAUAAAAGAAGCACGUCCAUCCUUGCUAUCCCAGGUUGCCAUCCUGAAAUCCAUCCUAGAUCGAUGGAGAAGAAGAAGAAGAAGAAGAAACUCCAAAUAGCACAAUCAUCGCGCUCACGUCAAAGUAAUGCUUUACGUGCACCUGUGACUGUUGUUGUAGUAAUAUGUGAGCCACACGGACUUAGCAAUCUCAUUUCCAAAGGUAUCAAGACUAGCGAAGCUUAACGGGUGAGGUAUGGUUAAUUGGUGAGGCUGCGACAAGUGACUAAGCAUUUAUUUGAGGUGGCUAUCUUACGAGUACACGAAAUAAGAGGGGGUAUGAUCUACGCAUAACUGCCAUGACUAAUGAUGAUCAAAUAAAUGAUCCUGAACACCUACUUACAUAUAGCAUAACCCCAUCGUGUCUUCUUUCGGAUACAAAACUGACGAGAAGAGACAAUCAUGGUUACACACACAGUUGGCAAAUUUUAAUUAAGUUUACCUCAAGCUUUCUAGAACCGGAUGUUAAACAAUGUUUCCAAGUUUGCCACAUGGCCGCGAGCACGGCUUUCCGAAAGAUUUAACCCUGCACGGGUGCUCCAACUAGUCGACCACAAACUACCAUACGCUGCGCCGGAAUGACCUCAACCACAGAAAACCCAUGAUUUCCUCGGGUUCCUACUGGAAUACCUCAACCUCGAGAUAGCCCAAAGUAUCCUCGAAAUCCCAUGCACAAGACGUUCGAAAAGAGUAAAAAAAAGUCCAGCAAGGCCACCCAGUGAGCCAGAUCCGCGUGCUCUCUAUCCACGAGCAUCAUCCGUCUAUGCAAAGUGGAUGAUAGCCUGAACAUGCGUCGAGUUGCCCCGAGGUAGCACCGCCGACUACUAGGUGGGUGGACCAACACUCAUGAGGAGCACUGACCCCGGGGGUUGAUUAAUUAUCCACGACGUGAUCAUAGCCUAUGCAUAUUUUAGUUGUUAUUAAGCAAAUAGUACCAUGUUGGGCCUUGUGAGACGAGUUUUAUCCCAGAACAAAAAUCUAAGCGGUCCCCAUAACAACCCCCAACUUGUUAGGAGCGCUUAAUUAUGAAACAUAACACCGGUAGCCGAAACUAAGGCGACAAAGGUGGAACAAAACACCAAGAUAGAAGGGCAAGCCUUCCACCUUCUACCAAGUAUAUAUGUGCAUUAAAUUAAAUAGUAAUAAUAUGGUGAUACAACAAGGAACCCAUGUUUUCACAUGGAAGCAACUGCUCCUGCAACUAGCAAUGCUAUUAGAAGGUUGAGCAAGCGGUAACAUAGCCAAACAAAUCAGUGAAGAAGAACGAAUCAGUGAAGAAGACGAGCCAACGUAGUCGAACGAAUCCUCACAUUCCGACACGCUUGCGGAACGCUGUCGAGAAGAAGCAAUUAGGAAACAAGAAUCAAAACACGAUAUUCACCAUAACAUAUGCAUGACACGAUGCACAAACAUAUAUGACGAAUGUACGGUUUAAUUAUGCAAGGUAUGGCACAUCACAACAAUCGAAUACUACACNNNNNNNNNNAGAAGCUCAAUAUGCAACGAGUUGCAUAUUGAUGAAACUCCACAUUUGAAUUAUUUAGUUCACUCCCGUUUAGGUACACGACAAUAUUAAAUGUUGUUAAGCAUGGCAAGAGGUGAAGUAUAAAUAAAAUACCUAUCUAGGCAUUUUAAUUGAGGUCGGAAACAUCAUAUAGCAUUUCCGAAAUGACCCCAUAUGUUAAUUUCGAAAUUGGUCCAGAUCUGAACUAACAUAUUUUAAUAGUUGUUAAACAGGGAAAUAAACUGGAGCAUGUGAUUUACAUAUAUAAAUUAGUUGAAACGGAGCUACCUUCUAAAAGAUAUGAUCAUCAUGAGAUGACACGGUACGAAUGCAACAUGUAUCCAAAUGACAGCCACAAGCAUGAUAAAUCAUAGAUGCACAAGACAUUAUGAAACUACAUGGAAUUCUAGUAAGUUUAAAUGAGGGUGGAACAACAAACAACAAUUCCGGAAAGUCCUCAUAUGUAAUUUUGAAUUUGCUACAGAUCUUCUUAAAACACAAUUUUAGAGUGGUUAGAUAGCAAAAUAAAUGCCACCAUGUUAUUCUAUGCAUCUUUCUAGCCAAGUUACAUACGUGAAUCAUUUUAAUGAGAGCUACGAUUAAUUAGUUAUGAAUUAAACUGUUAUUAGCAUGACAUCUAUGCAAAAUCAAUUAAACAACAAGUUUAAACAUUUUAAAUAGGUUUGAUAGUUGGAAAAUAUUAAUCUACGCGAAAUUCUGGACAUUUCACAUAUACGUGACAUUUAAUUUUGAUGCGUGGAUAUUUAAGUUAUUAGCAAAUGAAAUUGAUGGCAUUUUAUUACUAUGCAUGUCCUGAAUAUAAACUAAAAUUGCAGCACAUAAAAGAAAAAACAAUACGGGACGGAUUGCACAAACCUGCAGAGGCCGAGGAGGAUCUGGCCCAAUUGCGGCCUAGGUAGCAGGCCGCAACCACAGUAAAAAUGCAUGCAAAAAAUAUGGGGAUUCCUGGGACUCGAACCCAGGAUCUCAGCAAGAUGGAAUCGGCUAUGCUGGCGAACUCAGCUAGCGUUAAAUUCGUGGUUAAUACCAGUGCCAACGCUAAAUAACCUAAAUGAACGGAUCUAGGAAAAAUUAUGCUUCAGUUACGGGGCUCACAUGGGGGGAUAUAGAGGGCUCCGGCGUUGGGACUGCAGCGUGGCGACGGGAGACCACACGGUUGGGGUCGAAGAGGGGCACGAGGGCUGGAUCCGGGGCGGCCGUCCCGUUCCCAACGGCAGCAAGGUCCGAUGGCGACCUCCGGGCAGACGAGGUGGCCGGCGUGCAUGGCCCGGCUAUAGAAGCUGGGCCCAUGGAGCUCGGCGAGGCGCAGAGGAGAGGGGUCGUGGUUGCCAGUCGGGAGGUGCAGCAUUGGCCGCCAUGCGAGGCUCGGGAACGAGCUCAGGUUCCCGGGGCUUGAAGACAAGAUUGGCUCCAACCAUGGCAGCAGUGGAGAGCUUCACGGGGACUCACGGGUGCUCCUAUUGACAGACAUAAAGGGAGGAAAAGGCAUGAGAGAGGGAGGACUAGAAGGAAGGGAAGGAAGAAGGGGGCAGCAAGGCACGACCCGGUCCGGCGGCGGCGAUCGCCGGCGUAGCCACCAGAUGCGGCGCUGCAAGCAGCGGGGCGAAGAGCUCGGGCGAGCGCUUGCAUCUGCGGGGAGCUGGACACGUCUAGCGAUCUUGUAGCCGGGGACGAGGUGACUCGCUGUUAGGCAUUGGCGGACAAGGGGCUCNNNNNNNNNNNNNNNNNNNNNNNNNNNNNNNNNNNNNNNNNNNNNNNNNNNNNNNNNNNNNNNNNNNNNNNNNNNNNNNNNNNNNNNNNNNNNNNNNNNNUAGGUGUCAGUCACCAGCGAGUAUAGACGAGUCGUAGCAAGCUACAAGGACUCCAUUACAUCGCGUGACAUUUCCCCAGAGAGGACAGACAUAGCAGCUAAGAAGGACACAUGCCGGUCAACCAAUGUGUCCGGAGCAGUAGCGAACUACCAAGGCUCAUUAGAUCACAAAGGGGAAUUUCCUUGUAAGGAGUGCUACUAAAGUUCACGACUAAGUAAUCGAACCCCAUACAUAUCAAGUACGACACACGUACGCAUGGCAUACCGAUAUGUAUAGAUACAUCGAUGGCAUCACAACAUAACCAUAAACAUACAACCUUUAUUUAAGAGGCUCGGAAGAGCCACACACAUAAUGUUACACAUUAAGGGUCUCACGACCCAUAAUAGCAGUCAUUCUGUUACAAGCCAGCGGAAGAGUUUAAACUGUCUGAGUACAGACAGGGCAGCUAGAAGGCACAUGGCCUCACUAUACUACAGACCCAACGUAGGGCCGGAUCAUAGCUGGGACACCAGCUACUCGUCGUCGUCUAUGUCUACGAAGAACCCUCCAUUAGGGUCAUUAGCAACCUCUGCAACAUUUAUUAAGCAAACAUGAGUACGAAGGUACUCAGCAAGACAUUAGGAUAACUAACUACUCAUGCAAGGUAUCAAAAGGUAUUGUGGGGUUUCAUGCGGAAAGCCAGCAUCUGACUCGUGGCUAGACAACUUGCAUUUUAAAAUAAUUUUUACAACUUGAUUUCUCGCACAUGAGUCCACUAACACCACAACAAUACACUAUCGAGGAAUCAUUCCAUCUCCAAACGGAAAUGCCGUCCACGACACUCACGCUUAUCUUGGCAAUNNNNNNNNNNUUGACUCGUGGCUAGACAACUUGCAUUUUUAAAUAAUUUUUACAACUUGAUUUCUCGCACACGAGUCCACUAACACCACAACAAUACACUAUCUUGGAAUCAUUCCGUCUCCAAACGGAAAUGCCGUCCACGACACUCACGCUUAUCUUGGCAAUUUUAUGAGUAGCCAUUGAAGUUAUCUAUGAACAACAUAUGUCUCCAAGUAGCCCAUAUCCGCGGACGCGGCUAUUCGAAUAGAUCAUAACCCUGCAGGGGUGUACUUCGUCACACACGCUCUCGCCACUUAUCGCCAUGUGCACGUUAUGCACCUCGGCAACCUUCAAGCGGAGGCCCAGCGAGGGAGUCGGCCACGACCGUUAACCACACUAGUACCUAGUCCAGGUUUAUCGCCUAUCUGAGAGUAACCCGUACGGAAGUCCGGCCGAGGUUUCCUCCACGGCCUCAAACGAUGUGCGCAGGGUUCCCAAGCCCACCAUCCGGGUGCCACUUGGUACACCGUGCACUGCCUACCGCAUCACGGCCCACCUCUCAGGUCAGCACCAUGCACGGCCUCCAGCAUUACUAUAAACACCAGAAACUACUUGCAACUCCUGGACCGAGUACUAAGCGAUUAAUAAGUCGAGAGGGUCAUUUAAGUAUCCCAACGUGUGGUAGUAUCUAGUCUUGGAUUACAUACACGGAACUCAGUUCCUAAGGACGGUUCCAAUGAAACAACCCGCCAUGUACUCCUACACAGCCUUUCACCGGUACCUUUACCAAAUCAGGUUCAACACACAAUCUUUGCUUACUGAACACAUUCUCACAAUUCUGUUCAUCUCCGAGAUGACAGACCAUACACAACUCUAAGCAUAGCAUGCAUAGCAGGAUANNNNNNNNNNCGAACACAUUCUCACAAUUUUUUUCAUCUCCCAGAUGACAGACCAUACACAACUCUAAGCAUAGCAUGCAUAGCAGGAUAAGGCACAUCACAGCUCAAGCAACUACACGGUAUGAUAGGUUGCAAGGUUCGGCUAUUUACUGUGACAAGGUUAGGUCAUGCAAAGGAAGUGGGUUCAACUAAUUGUGGCAAAAGCAGUUGAAGCAUUUGAUCCUAAUGCAAUAAAUAGGUGCAGGAGCGAGAACAUGGAAUUUAUCGGGAUGAUCAAAAAUGGUUGCUUGCCUUGUUGCUCAGAGGAGGGACAAUAUCUGUCAGACGGAUAUUCGGUGGAAUCCGAGGGUGCGGAGCCUACCGAAAUGAAUGGCAACAAUCAAUAACAAUCAUAUGCAAACUAGAUGAUGCAUGAGCAUGGCAUGAGAAUGCAAGGUGAUAAAAUUAUAAUCAACAUGUGUUAGGUUUGAAGUUGAUUUGAAUCACAUUCAAAAUCAAUUCAAACGAGGUAUUCUCGAAUACCGAUUUAAUUGAUUCGACCUGAUGCUCAGAUCAACUUGAUGUUAACAUGCAUGAGAUGUCAUGUUAGGGUACUGAUUUGUAAUUAGGAUAGUGUGUGAUCAAGUCAAACAAAGAGAAAUUUAAUUACUUUUCAUAUUCCAUUUAUAAGUAAUUAUAAGAAUUGACUUAUUCCUUAAUCUACUUGUUUGGGUUCUGUAACUUUUUCAAACAUGAAUGAAAAUAGCAUAUUCAAAUUCCUUGAAUUUUUCUGAUACUUUUUCAUAUAUAAAUUAUUUUCAUUGGAGUUAUAGAUUAAUUUCUAUGAAUUUUUGAAGUUUUAAACAUUUCUGGAAUUAUUUUUGUACUGGAAAAUACUUUUAUUGCAUCAGCAUGACAUCAGCAGGUCCAUCUGGCCGUUGAAAGUCAAACCUGACCAGUGGGACCCACUGGUCAGUCUCUCUGGUCAAUUUUAGAUUAAGUUUAAAUGUAAUUAACUGAUUAACCUUACUGGACCCACAUGUCAGUGACUGAUUAACUUAUUUGAUUUAUUUCUAUUAUCUUUAAACUUGCCAGAGGUUGGCCCCACCAGGCAGUGGCUCAGGACAGCCGAGAUCCACCGGCGGCGAGGUCGUCCUCGCCGGCGGGGANNNNNNNNNNNNNNNNNNNNNNNNNNNNNNNNNNNNNNNNNNNNNNNNNNNNNNNNNNNNNNNNNNNNNNNNNNNNNNNNNNNNNNNNNNNNNNNNNNNNCUUAGGGGAAAUGACCGCAUGCUCACGCGGAGUGCAGAGCAGGGCUUAGACGGCUCGGGGAAGGCCUGGGAGCGACGAAUCGAGCAGAGCUCGCCGGCGGCCGAAGGUUGAAGAUGACGGUGCCGUGGGCGUUGCAGGGCUCGGGGUGGCUUCGGCUUCUGCAGGGAGGACCAGACCGACGAGGCGGAGCUAACGACGUGGUCUGAGAGGGGAUCCUAUGGCUAGGGGCACGGGCAGCUCGAGCUUUGCUCGGCUCCAAUGGUGGCAGAAGGCGGAGGAGAGAUCCGAGAGGAGGGGGAGGAUCUGGCGCUGGGAAUGGAUNNNNNNNNNNGCGUGCUCUGAGAGGGGAUCCUAUGGCUAGGGGAACGGGUAGCUCGAGCUUUGCUCGGCUCCAAUGGCGGCAGAAGGGGGAGGAGAGAUCCGAGAGGAGGGGGAGGAUCUGGCGCUGGGAAUGGAUAGGGUCGGCCUCGGGGAGCUUAUCCCCGGCCUUGCCAGUGCGAGACGGUGGCCAGGCAGGCGCACAGGUGCGUGGCCGCGCCGGAGAACGCGGCGGCCACCUCCUGCUGCCCACUAGAUGGGCCGGGCCAGGUGAGGGGCACAUAACUCUUUUCCCUUUUUUUUUCAGUUUUUGUUUCUGUUUUGCUAUAUCACUGAUUUUCUAUUUAUUUCAACUCCCAAACAAAAUGUAAAAACNNNNNNNNNNNNNNNNNNNNNNNNNNNNNNNNNNNNNNNNNNNNNNNNNNNNNNNNNNNNNNNNNNNNNNNNNNNNNNNNNNNNNNNNNNNNNNNNNNNNGAAAAAGUUACAGAACCCAAACAAGUAGAUUAAGGAAUAAGUCAAUUCUUAUAAUUUCUUAUAAAUGGAAUAUGAAAAGUAAUUAAAUUUCUCUUUGUUUGACUUGAUCACACACUAUCCUAAUUACAAAUCAGUACCCUAACAUGACAUCUCAUGCAUGUUAACAUCAAGUUGAUCUGAGCAUCAGGUCGAAUCAAUUAAAUCGGUAUUCGAGAAUACCUCGUUUGAAUUGAUUUUGAAUGUGAUUCAAAUCAACUUCAAACCUAACACAUGUUGAUUAUAAUUUUAUCACCUUGCAUUCUCAUGCCAUGCUCAUGCAUCAUCUAGUUUGCAUAUGAUUGUUAUUGAUUGUUGCCAUUCAUUUCGGUAGGCUCCGCACCCCCGGAUUCCACCGAAUAUCCGUCUGACGGAUAUUGUCCCUCCUCUGAGCAACAAGGCAAGCAACCAUUUUUGAUCAUCCCGAUAAAUUCCAUGUUCUCGCUCCUGCACCUAUUUAUUGCAUUCGGAUCAAAUGCUUCAACUGCUUUUGCCACGAUUAGUUGAACCCACUUCCUUUGCAUGACCUAACCUUGUCACAGUAAAUAGCCGAACCUUGCAACCUAUCAUACCGUGUAGUUGCUUGAGCUGUGAUGUGCCUUAUCCUGCUAUGCAUGCUAUGCUUAGAGUUGUGUAUGGUCUGUCAUCUGGGAGAUGAAAAAAAUUGUGAGAAUGUGUUCGGUAAGCAAAGAUUGUGUGUUGAACCUGAUUUGGUAAAGGUACCGGUGANNNNNNNNNNCGGAGAUGAACAGAAUUGUGAGAAUGUGUUCAGUAAGCAAAGAUUGUGUGUUGAACCUGAUUUGGUAAAGGUACCGGUGAAAGGCUGUGUAGGAGUACAUGGCGGGUUGUUUCAUUGGAACCGUCCUUAGGAACUNNNNNNNNNNNNNNNNNNNNNNNNNNNNNNNNNNNNNNNNNNNNNNNNNNNNNNNNNNNNNNNNNNNNNNNNNNNNNNNNNNNNNNNNNNNNNNNNNNNNCAAAAUUGGUAACUAGUUCACCAACAUUUAAUUUUUAGUUCAACUAGUGCAAAUUCAGUUCGGUUGAAUUCAAAAUUAGUUCUACAAGAUUUGAAAAAAGUUCACCUACAUUCAUAUUGUAGCUCAACAACUUCAAAUUCAGUUCACUUCAAUCGAAUUUUACUUCUAAUAAAUUCUAGUUUAUCAAAUUCAAAUUCGGUUCCCUUGAAUUCAAAAUUAGUUCAACAAGAUUUGAAACUAGUUCACAUCAUUUAGAUUAUAGUUCAACAACUUCAAAUUCAGAUCACUUGAGUCAAAUUUUNNNNNNNNNNCACAAGAUUGGAAACUAGUUUACAUCAUUCAGAUUAUAGUUCAACAACUUCAAAUUCAGAUCACUUGAGUCAAAUUUUACUUUUAAUAAAUUCUAGUUCAUCAAAUUCAAAUAACAUUCCUUGAAUUCAAAAUUAGUUCAACAAGAUUACAAACUAGUUCACCAGCAUUAAAUUUUUAGUUCAACCAGUUGAAAUUCAGUUCACUUGAAUCAAAUUUUACAUCUAAUAAAUUCUUGUUCAACUAGUUCAAAGUCAGUUCCCUUAAAUUCAAAAUUAGUUCAACAAAANNNNNNNNNNNNNNNNNNNNNNNNNNNNNNNNNNNNNNNNNNNNNNNNNNNNNNNNNNNNNNNNNNNNNNNNNNNNNNNNNNNNNNNNNNNNNNNNNNNNACUAGUUGAACUAAAAAUUAAAUGUUGGUGAACUAGUUACCAAUUUUGUUGAACUAAUUUUGAAUUCAAGGGAACUCUAUUUGAAUUUGAUGAACUAGAAUUUAUUACAAGUAAAAUUCCAUUCAAGUGAACUAAAUUUGAAGUUGUUGAAAUACAAUUUGAAUGUAGGUGAACUAGUUUGAAUUCUUGUUGAACUAAUUUUGAAUUCAAUGGAAUUUCAUUUGAAUAUGUUGAACUAGAAUUUAAUAAAAGUUAAAUUUGAUUCAAGUGAACCAAAUUUGAAGGUGUUGAACUACAAUUUGAAUGUAGGUGAACUAACUUCAAAUCUUAUUGAACUAAUUUUGAAUUGAAGGGAACUAAAUUUGAACUAGUUUCAAAUCUUGUUGAACUAAUUUCGAAUUUAAGGGGACUGUAUUUGAAUUUCAUGAAUUAGAAUUUAUUAGAAGUAAAAUUCAAUUCAAGUGAACUGAAUUUGAAGNNNNNNNNNNUGAAUUUAAGGGAACUGUAUUCGAAUUUCAUGAACUAGAAUUUAUUAGAAGUAAAAUUCAAUUCAAGUGAACUGAAUUUGAAGUUGUUGAACUACAAUCUAAAUGUAAGUGAAAUAUUUUCGAAUCUUGUUCAACUAAUUUUGAAUUCAAUUGAACUGAACUUGAACUGGUUGAACUAAAAAAUAAAUGUUAGAGAACUAGUUUCCCAUUUUUUUGAACUAAUUUUGAAUUCAAGUCAACUAAAUUUGAACUAGUUGAACAAGAAUUUAUUAGAUGUAAAAUUCGAUUCAAGUGAGUUGAAUUUGAACUGGAUGACCUAAAAAUUAAAUGUUGGUGAACUAAGUUCCAAUCUUGUUGAAGUAAAUUUGAAUUCAAAGGAACAGUAUUUGAAUUUGAUGAACUAGAAUUUAUGAGAUGUAAAAUUUGAUUCNNNNNNNNNNGAUUUUGUUGAACUAAUUUUGAAUUCAAGUCAGCUAAAUUUGAACUAGUUGAACAAGAAUUUAUUAGAUGCAAAAUUCGAUUCAAGUGAACUGAAUUUGAACUGGAUGAACUAAAAAUGAAAUGUUGGUGAACUAAUUUCCAAUCUUGUUGAACUUAAUUUGAAUUCAAGGGAACUGUAUUUGAAUUUGAUGAACUAGAAUUUAUGAGAUGUAAAAUUCGAUUCAAGUGAGCUGAAUUUGAAGUUGUUAAACUUCAAUUUAAAUGUAGGUGUACUAGUUUCAAAUCUUGUUAAACUUAUUUUGAAUUCAAGGGAAUUGUAUUUGAGUUUGUUGAACUAGAAUAUAAUAAAAGUUAAAUUCGAUUCAAGUGAAANNNNNNNNNNUUGAACUAGUUUCAAAUAAUGUUAAACUUAUUUUGAAUUCAAGGGAAUUGUAUUUGUGUUUGUUGAACUAGAAUAUAAUAAAAGUUAAAUUCGAUUCAAGUGAAAUGAAUUCAAGGAAUUGUAUUUGAAUUUGAUGAACUAGAAUUUAUUAAAAGUAAAAUUUGAUUCAAGUGAACUGAAUUUGAAGUUGUUGAACUACAAUUUGAAUGUAGGUCAACUAGUUUCAAAUCUUGUUGAACUAAUUUUGAAUUCAAGGGGACUGAAUUUGAACUUGUUUCAAAUCUUGUUGAACUAAUUUUUAAUUCAAGGGAACUAUAUUUGAAUUUGAUGAACUAGAAUUUAUGUCACAUCCCUGACACCUUAAGCAAGUUAGUCUUGUGCUCAUGUCUUCUUUGCAUUUGCAUCUAAGAAUUUUCAACAAGAUCAAAGAAAGAGGUGAAGAAAAACUCAAAACCCUAGCCACUACUUUAAAUAAAGGAAAUCUCAAANNNNNNNNNNNNNNNNNNNNNNNNNNNNNNNNNNNNNNNNNNNNNNNNNNNNNNNNNNNNNNNNNNNNNNNNNNNNNNNNNNNNNNNNNNNNNNNNNNNNCAUAUCAACUAUUAUGUGCCCCGCAUCAUACAUCUUGGUAACAUGAAGUUCCUAUAUUCUCUAAGAGAUGUUUCUCUCAUUCCUACACUUGACUUUCAACAAUUGGCACUCGAUUUUAUGCGUGAGGAAUUAGAGCGUCAUUUUGAAAUGAUAAUGAACAGACCAAGUGUUGAGGAAAUGAACAAGCCUUCACAUAUUGGGGGAUGCCUUCCUAUUUAGGGAGUAAGUUUUUCCCAUAUUCCAAUUUUUAGUUUUUUAUCUCAAUUUUCAUUUUUUCUAUAUUUUUUUUGACUCAUUGAGUUUUUAUUUUGGAGUGACAGAUCAUUUAUCUGGAUUUUGUUGAUUUUGAUGUUAUUGAGAAUCAUCAAUCAAUUGUGGAUUAUUCUAUUCCUCGGAUAACUCAUAUUAAGAAUGAUGAUUUCGAGUAUCUUGCAUUGGUUGAUAGGAAUUAUGAGUCUAAGAAAGCAUUUGGAAUUCUAACAGUAAGCAUCGUAUACUCUAUUACAUGUCUUUACGUAUAGUUUUUUAGCUCCAGUAUUUUUUCAUUGUUUAUUCUUCUUUCAUUUGUAGCUUCGAGACAAAUCUCAAACACCCUAUGCUAAUGUUGGGCCUGUGAACAAUGCUCCUGUUAAUCCUUCCGAGUUUCUUUCAGUUCCUUAUGUGGAGGUAUGUCUUUUUCUUCAUUCAGAUUUCAUUGAAUAAAUGAUUUUCAACUAGUCUCUUGUUUUUUGUACUAUAGUUAAACAUUUAUAGAUAAUGUCAUUUCUAGGUCAUUAAUGACAUGAAUGUUGACUUAGAUGAAAAAGUGAAGCGAGAUGCUCAUUCCAAGAAACAAAUAAAUUUGAAUAUUUUACCCCUCGUACAAUAUUGUUCAUCAUUUAAAGAAAAUUUGUUCUCAAGUAAUUCAGAAGAUUCGUUAUUUACAAAGUAAAAUGAAAAUUGCAGGUUCGUGUGGAAGAAACUACUAAGGAAGAGCCAGCAGAACCAAAAGUUGAAAACAUUGUUGAUGUUAAGGUACCCUAUAUUUUUAUUUUUUUCAUUAACUAUUGUUUAUUCAAUUAUUUCUUUUUUCAUUUUAUUUUCAAUUUUAUCCAUACAAAAAACUUAGUACAGUGAGUUGUUUUGUCUUUAGCCAAAAUUUGAAAAGCUCAAAAGAUAUACCAAUGUUCAGCUAAUGUUCAAUUCACUACAAUUUUUACAUGUUUUUCCUUCCAUCCAGAACAAUUUUGGCCUGAAUUCUGCUUACAAGACACCAAUCAUUCAUGUUCGUCCUUCAGUUUUGAACAUAUAUUCUCUUGAUCAAGCUACUAGUUCACAACCUAAGGUUUGUUUUAAUUUUCUGCUUUUUUCCGUUGCUUCUUACUUUUGUUGCUUGAACAACAAGUCUUCUACCUUUGCUAGCAGGAAGAAAAGAAUCGAUCACCUCCAAGUACUCAUGAGAAUUUUUCAACUGGAAUGAAUGAAAAUAGGAGUUUUAUAAUGAUCAGCUCUUCUUCUAGAAAAGAUAGAGUCAAGUGCUUCCAAGGAACAAGACACUCCUAUUUUUUUUUACAAAAAAGACAAAACAACAUCUGAAUGUGAUGCAAGUGUUCAAAUUCAAAUGCCCUUGGAAUUUUCUGAGCAACAAGGUUAGAGUUCGCGGUUAAUAUCUUUUCUUUUUCAAACUCAAUUGAUUAUUUCCUUUUCAUCCUUUUUCAAUUACUUUUGUGUAGACUUUUCUACAAUCAUUGAUGUAGAAGUUGGAACAAGAACAUCUCAUAAUACAAUUGAAAAGAAGAAUAGGAAAAAGAGAGCAGCUAAAGUUCAAUCUCCUAAUCAACAAAAGGAACUUAAAAUAUCUCGUGAUGUUGAUGAGUUUUUUUCAAAAUUCUUGAGGAAGCCUUUUUUGAAAACAUAGUAAAUUCUCUAAUUUAGUAACUAUUUUUUUAAUACUCUUAAAUUUUUGAUAUUUGUUCUGUUACCGCAGCACUCUCCAUACAUAACUGAUUAGCUAAGAAACAUUUCUUAUCCAAAUAUCAACUUAAUGAGAAUCUGGAAAUGAACAUUUGAAUUAAUUUUUCAAUAUUAGGCAUGGAAUCAACAUUAAAACUUGUUAUUUCAAUCAAUUCGUGCAUUGGUAUCCAAGACCAAUUUGAGUGUCCUUGCAUUUUUAAUUAUAGACCACAUAUAGUUUUAAUCUUAACUCGAUGGUUGCAAUUAUUUUUAUAACUUUUUCCUAAAAGAAGUAUUCAAUUUGAAUCAAAUAUAUUUUAAGUAGGAAUGCAAUUCUCUUUUGGAAAACUUUUUUAUGUCUCUAUAGUUACACUUUUUUAUUCUUUGCAGCACUAUUUUUGUGGACAUUGCUGGUCUUCCUGUUAGCUAUGAGAACUACUACAAUUCUUUUGAAGCAAGGGGUGGAACUGUAGAUGAAGUUAUGAACUCGUUUAUUCAACUUCCGAAAUUUGAAUCAAAUAUGAACUCUAACGUAAAACCUUUUAUCAAGAAAUACUGUUUCACUUCCUAUUUCACUGUGAGUAUCUUCCGACUUCCUUUCUUCUACUCUUGUCACUUCUUCUUUUUAGUUGUAAAUUAAGUCAAUUUCUCUUAUCUUUUAUUUGAAUGGCGACAUAAUAAAUUGUUGGUUACUCCUGAAACAUUUGAUCCAGUUAGCUGCAUAAGAUUAUUUUACAUAAUUAAUUCAGAUGAAACCCUUUGGAAACAGGACUUGGUAAAUAUGUGUUAAAACUUAUAUUGUUUUUAGCAUUAACUUUCUGUUUUUAUUAUUAUUCGUUCUGAUUUUGCUUUUUCUUUCAACAGUUAUUCUUUCCUACUAUAAAAUCAAUCCAUUGGGUUAUACUCUGCAUUAGUUUUCUUUUCGAGAGAACUCACUUUUUUUAUCCUUGUGGCACUAUUUCACAAACUGUUGAAGGAGAACUUGUUCACAACUUGGGAAGAACUUCUUUUAGUCAGAAUAUCAAUUGAAUUCAUCAGAAACAAAUUAAAAUCAUGCUCAAGCUCAGUCGAAACCUUCUAACUAUUAUUUUUAUUUAUAUUUUUAAACAGGCUUCGAACUUUAACAUGCUUUGUAAGAUUAGUAAGAAACCUUUCAAGAAUGUGUUUAGUUUCAAGCUUGAAGAUACUGGUCCGUACCCAACAAAAUGCUUGAUGUAAGUUUUUUUUCUUAUUUACUUUUUGUUUUCUUCAUUCCGAGUUAAAUUUUUCUCUGUUGUUCUUAUUUCCUUUUGCUAUUAAUGACAUGAAGUACACGCCAUAGAACAUGGUGGAGAUCACGCUAGGUGCCGAGAGCUAUAUUUUUUGCAAGCAGUGCUUUAUUUCUAUAUUUAUUUUGCUUUUAGGCUCUAGUAGCAAUGAACUAAUAAUUCUAUUGUUUAUGUCUAUUUGUUAAAAACAUUGUCUAGGAUGACAGUUUGCUCUUUUAGCAUACAACUUUUUGUCUAGGUCUUCCUCUUCUUCAUGUUUUCUUUUUCUAUAUGCAGGCAUGAUUCAGGCCACUAUUUGCCAGUAUACAUGGAAAACUUUGAAGGCAAAUCAAUGAAGUUUUUUAGUAUGGUAUUUUCUUAACAAAUGUAUGAAUUCUAUUUUGUGCCACAUAUAUAUUGUAUUUUCUCAUAUCAAAUAUAACACUAUAUAUCAAUAGAAUAUAGAUGUCGGGACCCCGAUCCUAAGUCAUAGGAAUUCAGCCUGUAACAUAUCGCAUCCAUUUGCGGUCUCACGCACGGUUAACCCUACGGCUGUAGCCUUAUCUUAGUCGGGACCGUUUGCGUCUUUUGACUCACGUAUGCAAUUGUGUCGCUAGUAAUUCAAUGACAAAGAACCCGGAUCGACAUGUCUAGUCAUAAACCAAAGUGACAAUUCCGCACAGGGACAGGCAUACAUGACCCAGCAAAGCAGUUGUCCGUCACCAGCGAAUGUACACGAGUCGUAGGAAGCUACAAGGACUUCAUUACAUCGCGUGACAUUUUCCUAGAGGGAACAAACACAACAGCUAAGAAGGACACACACCGUUCAACCAAUGUGUCCGGAGCAUUAGCGAGCUACCAUGGCUCGUUGGAUCAUAAAGGGCAUUUUUCUGUAAGGAGUGCUACUAAAGUUUACGGCUAGGUAAUCGAACCCCAUACAUAUCAAGUACGACACACGUACGCAUGGCAUACCGAUAUGUAUAGAUACAUCGAUGGCAUCACAACAUAACCAUAAACAUAGAAGCUUUAUUUAAGAGGCUCGGAAGAGCCACACACAUAAUAUUACACACUAAGGGUCUCAUGACCCAUCAUAGCAGUCAUUCAGUUACAAGCCAGCGGAAGUGAUUAAACUGUCUGAGUACAGACAGGUGAGACUAGAAGGCACAUGGCCUGACUAUACUACAGACCCAAUCUAGGGCCAGAUCGUAGCUGGGACACCAGCUACUCAUCAUCGUCGAUGUCUAGAAAGAACCCUUCAUUAGGGUCAUUAAUAAUUAUUAAACAAACAUGAGUACGGAGGUACUCAGCAAGACUUUAGGAUAACUAUCUACUAAUGCAAUGUAUCAAUAAGAAAUUGUGGGGUUUCAUGCGGAAAGCUAGCAUUUGACUCGUGGAUAAACAACUUGUAUUUUAAAAUAAAUUUUGACAACUUGAUUUCUCGUACACGAGUCCACUAUCACCACAACAAUACUCUAUCGUGGAUUCAUUCCGUCUCCAUACGAAAAUGCCGUCCACGACACUCACAUUUAUCUUGACAAUUUUAUGAGUAGCCAUUGAAGUUAUCUAUGAACAACAUAUGUCUCNNNNNNNNNNAAGUCCAUAUCCGCGGACACGGCUAUUCGAAUAGAUCAUAACCCAGCAGGGGUGUACUUCGUCACACACGCUCUCGCCACUUAUCGCCAUGUGCAGGUCAUGCACCUCGGCAAUCUUCAAGUGGAAGCCCAACGAGGGAGUCGGUCACGACCGUUAACCACGCUAAUACUUGGUCCAGGUCUAUCGUCUAUCUGAGAGUAACCGCACGGAAGUCCGGCCGAGGUUUCCGCCACGGCCUCAAACGAUGUGCGCAAGGUUACCAAGCCCAUCAUCCGGGUGUCACUUGGUACACCGUGCCACUGCCUGCCGCAGUAUAGCCCACCUCUAAGGUCAGCGCUACGCACGGCCGCCAGGAUGAUUAUAAACACCAGAAACUACUUCCAACUCCUGGACCGAGUACUAAGCGAUUAACAAGUCGAGAGGGUCAAUUAAGUAUCCCAACGUGUGGUAGAAUCUAGUCUUGGAUUACAUACACGGAACUCAGUUCCUAAGGACGGUUCNNNNNNNNNNNNNNNNNNNNNNNNNNNNNNNNNNNNNNNNNNNNNNNNNNNNNNNNNNNNNNNNNNNNNNNNNNNNNNNNNNNNNNNNNNNNNNNNNNNNGGGGUUGGGCACCUAUCGCAUCUACACAACGUCCUGAGGCUGUUGGUAUCAGACGGACCAACACUUCACCGGAGGUUUACCGGCGACGAGCUGCAGCGGCGGUCCUCGUCGGGCUCCGGUGAAACUAGGGCUAGAGGAGGGGAUCGACGGGGAAAACUUAGGGGAAAUGACCGCAUGCUCACGCGGAGUGCAGAGCAGGGCUUAGACGGCUCGGGGAAGGCCUGGGAGCGACGAAUCGAGCAGAGCUCGCCGGCGGCCGAAGGUUGAAGAUGACGGUGCCGUGGGCGUUGCAGGGCUCGGGGUGGCUUCGGCUUCUGCAGGGAGGACCAGACCGACGAGGCGGAGCUAACGACGUGGUCUGAGAGGGGAUCCUAUGGCUAGGGGCACGGGCAGCUCGAGCUUUGCUCGGCUCCAAUGGUGGCAGAAGGCGGAGGAGAGAUCCGAGAGGAGGGGGAGGAUCUGGCGCUGGGAAUGGAUAGGGUCGGCCUCGGGGAGCUUAUCCCCGGCCUUGCCAGCGCGAGACGGUGGCCAGGCAGGCGCACAGGUGCGUGGCCGCGCCGGAGAACGCGGCGGCCACCUCCUGCUGCCCACUAGAUGGGCCGGGCCAGGUGAGGGGCACAUAACUCUUUUCCCUUUUUUUUUCAGUUUUUGUUUCUGUUUUGCUAUAUCACUGAUUUUCUAUUUAUUUCAACUCCCAAACAAAAUGUAAAAACNNNNNNNNNNACGGCGGCCACCUCCUGCUGCCCAUUGGCGGGGAGGAAGACGACAGGGGCUUAGAUGGGCCGGGCCAGGUGAGUGGCAGAUAACUUUUUUCCCUUUUCUUCAGUUUUUGUUCAUGUUUUGCUGUAUCACUGAUUUUCUAUUUAUUUCAACUCCCAAACAAAAUGUAAAAACUAUGUUAAGCACCCUAGAAUAUUUGUUGGAAUAUUUCCAACCAUUCCUAAAGUUNNNNNNNNNNNNNNNNNNNNNNNNNNNNNNNNNNNNNNNNNNNNNNNNNNNNNNNNNNNNNNNNNNNNNNNNNNNNNNNNNNNNNNNNNNNNNNNNNNNNUCUUGCCAAAAUCAAUGAACCCAAAAUGGCCUUCUUAAAAGUUCAAUAGUUCUGAUAAAUAUUGAAAACUAUUUAUCUGGGGAGAAAAAUAUUUUCAAAUCACUUUUGGCAUUUUGUUUAAAACCAGCAAGUCCUUGAAUUCAAACUUAUAGCUGAAUUCAAAAAUAUAUAAGCUUUCAAAAAUGAUGAAAACUUUAUGGGUCAUUGGAAAUAUUCCAACUAACACCCCAGCAUUUUUCAAACUAUUUUUAGUUUUGAUUUAGUGCCAAAAACAAAUAGCAACAAGUAUCAGCAAAUAAAACACAAACAGAAAAAUAGAAAAGUUCUAUCCUACGCUCACCUUGGCCCGGCCCACCUCCACGCUUGUCUUCUUCCUCCUCGCUAGUGUGCAGCAAGAGGUGGCGUCGCAUUCUCCGGCGCGCCCACGCAGCUGCACGCCUGCCUGCCUCGCCUGACACGCUGGAGGGUGGAGAUAAACUUCCCCGCAGACGUGCCCGAGCUCUCCCCCUCCUCAUUCUUCCCCCUGCUCUCUCUCGUCUCGGCCGCCAUUGGAGCCCGGGCAGAGCUCGAGCUCGCCGUCGCUCUGGCCUGCCUCCUUCCCCCCUGAGCCGCGCAGAAGAACCGCCAGGGUCCCCUGAAGCUUCCAAGCCACGAGCUCGAUGUCAGACGCAGUGAAUCACCGAGAAGCCGCCUUCUUCCUCCUCGGAUCGCCGACGUUCAUCGCCGCCGUUCUUCCUCCUCAGGCCUCCCCCGAGCCUACUUUCAAUGCCUCUACAAUCCUCGUGAGCUCAGGAUCUUUUUCCAUCUAUUUCCCCUCUUGAUUCCGAGCCCUAGCCCCUGAUUCCACCGGAGCCCGACGAUGACCGCCGCGGUAGCUCGUCGCCGGUGGCUCUCCGGUGAUCGGCUCGUUGAUCUGAGGCUUGCAAAAGCUUCAGCACAUCACGUAGAUGAUGUAGGAGCCUAGCCCCGCGCGUGAUGCCCCCUUUUUUUAUGACCCCGAUGAUGCCCGAGCUUCGGCCGCUGCCAAGCUCGUCGCCGACGUCAUCUCCGACCAGAUCAGCCCCGGUUCUAAGCAGAAAUGGAAUGGCGGGUGAACGCUGGCCAGUCUCGUGCCUUCUGCCACACAAAUGGUCGUCAGAAUGGGAUUUUCGAGCCCCUCCGCCGUUCUGGUGGUCGCUGGAGGCUCACCGCCGGCGAGCACGACCUCGCUGCCGGUGGAUUUGACCCCUGUGAGCCUAUGACACGCGGGGCCAGCCCUUGGCUAAUUAAGUUUAGGAUUAGUAAAAAUAAUUAAUUAAAUAAAAACAUAANNNNNNNNNNNNNNNNNNNNNNNNNNNNNNNNNNNNNNNNNNNNNNNNNNNNNNNNNNNNNNNNNNNNNNNNNNNNNNNNNNNNNNNNNNNNNNNNNNNNNNNNNNNNNNNNNNNNNNNNNNNNNNNNNNNNNNNNNNNNNNNNNNNNNNNNNNNNNNNNNNNNNNNNNNNNNNNNNNNNNNNNGCUAACCAGAGGGUCCCACUGGUCAGGUUUGACUUUCAAUGACCAGUUGGACCUGCUGAUGUCAUGCUGAUGCAAUAAAGCUUUUUCUGAUUUAAAAGAAUUCCAGAAAAUGCCCAAAACUUCUAAAAAUCAUAGAAAAUAAUCUGUAACUCUAAUGAAAAUAAUUUAUAUAUCAAAAAGGAUCAGAAAAAUCCAAGGAAUCGGAUUUUGAUAUUUUCAAACAUGUCUGAAAAUGCUAACAUCACCAAACAGAUUAAAUGAUGAAUAGUAUAACCUUAUUAAAUAAUUUGGAGUUGGAAUUUGAAAUCCAUUUGAAUUCCNNNNNNNNNNCAAUGAAAAUAAUUUAUACAUGAAAAAGGAUCAGAAAAAUCCAAGGAAUCUGAUUUUGAUAUUUUCAAACAUGUUUGAAAAUGUUAACAUCACCAAACAGAUUAAAUGAUGAAUAGGAUAACCUUAUUAGAUAAUUUGGAGUUGAAAUUUGAAAUCCAUUUGAAUUCCACUUCAAACAUUAUGACCAAACAAUNNNNNNNNNNGCUUCAAACAUUAUGACCAAACAAAGAUCAAGAACAAUCAACACCUCAAAAUACCAUCUUCAUGCAUGCUAAAAUAAGAUUAAUUGAGCAUCGGGUUGAAUCAAUUAAAAGGGUAUUUGAAAAUACCUUGUUUGAAGUGAUAUUUNNNNNNNNNNGAUCAAGAACAAUCAGCACCUCAAAAUAACAUCUUCAUGCAUGCUAAAACAAGAUUAACUGAGCAUCAGGUCGAAUCAAUUAAAAGGGUAUUUGAAAAUACCUUGUUUGAAGUGAUAUUUGAAUCUUGAUUCAAAUCAACUUCAACUUAAUAAAUGGUAGUCACAUUAGCCUACCACCUUUCAUUUNNNNNNNNNNCUGAUUGUUAUUGAUUGAUAUUGUUUUUACCGGUAGGCCCCGCUCCUCUGGAUUCCUCCGAAUAUCCGACUGACGGAUAUUGUCCCUCUCCUAAGCAACAAGGCAAGCAACCAUUUUGAUCAUCCUGAUAAAUCCCAUGUUCUCGCUCCUACUCUUACUUAUUGCAUUAGGAUCAAAUGCUUCAAAUGAUUUUGCCACGUUAGUUGAACCCACUUCCUUUGCAUGACCUCUCCUUGUCACAGUAAAUAGCUGAACCUUGCAACCUAUCAUACCUGGUAGAUGCUUGAGCCAUGAUGUGCCUUAUCCUGCUAUGCANNNNNNNNNNUUGAUAUUGUUUUUACCGGUAGGCCCCGCUCCUCCGGAUUCCAGUGAAUAUCCGACUGACGGAUAUUGUCCCUGUGCUGAGCAACAAGGCAAGCAACCAUUUUGAUCAUCCCGAUAAAUCCCAUNNNNNNNNNNAUCCGAGAAUACCUCGUUUGAAGUGAUAUUUGAAUUUGAUUCAAAUCAACUUCAAACCUAAUAAAUGUUAGCCAUAAUAGUAUACCACUUUGCAUCCUCAUGCCAAGCUCAUGCAUCAUUUUGUUGCAUAUGCUUGUCACUCUUUUCGGUAGGCUCCGCUCCUCCGGAUUCCACCGAAUAUCCGACUGACGGAAAUUGUUCCUCCUCUGAGCAACAAGGCAAGCAACCAUUUUGAUCAUCCCGAUAAAUCCCAUGUUCUCGCUCCUACUCUUACUUAUUGCAUUAGGAUCAAAUGCUUCAAAUGCUUUUGCCACGUUAGUUGAACCCACUUCCUUUGCAUGACCUGUCCUUGUCACAGUAAAUAGCUGAACCUUGCAACCUAGCAUACCUGGUAGAUGCUUGAGCCAUGAUGUGCCUUAUCCUUCUGUGCAUGCUAUGCUUAGAGUUGUGUAUGGUCUGUCAUCUGGGNNNNNNNNNNNNNNNNNNNNNNNNNNNNNNNNNNNNNNNNNNNNNNNNNNNNNNNNNNNNNNNNNNNNNNNNNNNNNNNNNNNNNNNNNNNNNNNNNNNNAAACUCCUAACUUGCUUAACCGAUUCAGGUUGAGUCCAAUCAAGGACAUCUUGAACUUACUCGGGAUUGACAGCAAUACCCUUACCGGAGAUUACGUGACCUAGGUAGGUCACUUCUGGUAACCAAAAUUUACAUUUGGAAAACUUGGCAUAAAGGCAAUGCUCUCGAAGUUUCAUCAAUACGAGCCUUAGAUGCUCGGCAUGUUCUUGUUCGUUCUUCGAGUAGAUGAGAAUAUCGUCGAGGUAUACUACAACGAAUUUAUCCAAGUACUCCAUGAAGAUUGAAUUCAUCAAGCGAGAGAAGGUGGCUGGGGCAUUGGUUAAACCGAAGGACAUGACGGUGUACUUGUAUUGGCCAUAACGAGUGACAAAAGCCGUUUUUGGAAUGUCCCCGUUCUUGAUCUUGAUUUGAUGGUAUCCCAACCUCAAAUCCAUUUUUGAGAAGACAGAGGAUCCAGCGAGCUGAUCAUACAGAUCGUUGAUCCUGGGGAGCGGAUACUUGUUCUUUAUGGUGACCAGAUUAACUAGUCGGUAAUCUACAACCAUCCGAUCUAUUCCAUCUUUCUUCUUGACGAAGAGGACGGGACAAGCCCAAGGAGAAGAGCUAGGACGAAUGAAACCUUUAUUCAAGGCCUCAUCUAGUUGCUUCUUAAGUUCGGCUAGCUCCAGGGGUGCCAUCUUAUAUGGUCUUCUGGCUAUUGGAACGGUUCCCGGAACAAGGUCUAUUACAAACUCUACAUCUCUGUCAGGUGGAAUUCCUGGCAGUUCCUCUGGAAAAACAUCCGGGAAGUCACGGACUACCGGAAUGUCUUCAAGUACCGGAAGAGGGUGGGCAUUGAGGGAAUAGAGUUGGCAUUUGGCAACUCGAGUAGAGACAUUGACUAUCUCACCCGAGGGAUGGGUAAGCUGAACAUUUAUAGAAUGAGUAUCAAUCUUGGCAUAGUGAGCUGACAUCCAGUCCUUACCCAAGAUGAUAUUGAUAUCCAAAGAUUUCAGGGCUAUCAAUGAUGCUAGAAAAACUAGCGUGUCUACUAGAAUUUCAUUGUCAUAGGUUAUCCUAGAGGUUUGCCACUUACUACCAGGAGUUUGGACAACCAAUGGGAUUGGCAUAUCACAGAAAGACAUGUUAUGCAACUGUGCAUAACUUUCUGAAAUGAAGAAAUGAGAAGACCCAGUGUCAAAAAGAACAAACGCUGGGUGAUGAUUAAGAAGGAGCGUACCCAGCAUGACGUCGGGAUCCUCUACAGCUUCUUCUACUGAAACAUAGUUCACACGACCACGUGUAGGAGUUGGCUUCACAUAAUAAGCUUUGCCCGACUUGCCUUGCCCAACAGACUUUCCGGGUUGCUUGGCACCCACAUUCUGAGGACACUCUCGGGAAUAGUAAACUGGUUCUCCACACUUGUAACAGAUCACUUGAUUGGCACGUGGUGCAGCAUUGCUAGCUGGACCACCAUAUAUUUUUGUUGGAGGGUUGGUCUGAUUCGUCUGAGGCGCCACGUAGGAUGGCCUCGGAGUGUAUCUUGGCGGCAGAGAACUAUUUGGAACCCACAGACUGCGUUUUGGGAAUGCGGAACCAGAUGACGAGCCAAAGUCAUGGGAGUGCUUCUUUGUGGCUUCAUAGUCGGUAUGACCAGUCUCGGCACUGAUCGCCUUGUUGACCAGGGCUUGGAAGCUUGUACAUUCGUGGAGGCGCAAAUCACGAUGAAGCUCAGGGCUCAGACCCUUACGGAAUCUUGCUUGCUUCUUGGCAUCAGUAGAGACCUCCUCUGUUGCAUAUUGGGCGAGGUUACCGAACUCGCGGCUAUAGGCAUCCACGGUCAACUUUCGCUGGGUGAAUGCACAAAACUCCUCUCUCUUUCUGUCCAUCAGGCCCACUGGAAUAUGGUGCAGACGGAAGGCUGCACUAAAGUCUGCCCAUGUGGCUGCUGGUUCAGCAGGAAGCAUAGCUUCAAAGUUCUCCCACCGCAGAUUGGCGGGUCCUUCCAGAAAGUAUGCCGCAAAGGUCACCUUGUCGGCCUCAGAAACAUUCGCAGAGCAAAUCUUGCGUGAUAUACUGCACAUCCAAUCAUCAACGUCGAGGGGAUCGACGGAGUGAUGGAACUUUGGAGGAUUCAGCUUCACAAAGUCAUUGAGGGACACUGCAGCAUUUCUAGGCUGACGAGCCAUAUUUUUCUCAAUACGCUCUAACAGACGGUUGGUCUCCCUUUUGUUUCUCUCUGCCUCAAGCAUAACUUCCGCCAGAGAGGGCGGGUGAGGCAGUUCCUCCUGCGACGCUUGACUACCCUCGCCUUGCUCAUGAGCAGGGGCACGGNNNNNNNNNNAGGUGAGACAGUUCCUCCUGCGACGCUUGACUACCCUCGCCUUGCUCAUCAGCAGGGGCACGGUUCAACCUGGUGAACACCAUCCUGACAAACAAACCCACAGCUUAGACCAAUAUCAACAUUAAUACUAACUAUGGAUUAAGAAUGCACUGAACACAUGGAAUGCGGAAAUGAAUAUCCGAACAUCAUGGUAACAAGCAACUGCUAUAUAUACACCAUGGUUCAUACGCACCAUUACAUAGUUCAGUACAACCUUAACCGAAGAGCAAACUACUGAAAACAUGAAACUACUCAUCAGAGGCUUCCAAGCUUCCUAUACAUUAUUUAUCUAUGCCUCCGGAAUUCAUUUCACGACACAAACAUACUUCACAACUCACACAGGACUGUGAAAGUACAGCUACUACCAUACUAUCCUUCCACUCACGGUUCGGACAUCCGCAUAGAACAUCUCAUAAAGAUUGCCUCCACGGCCUGGAAGCUCAACCUGCGGAUCAGGAAAUACUCCAGUCUGAGACCCGUGGGAUCCAUAAGGACACGGGUGUGGCCUUGGUCCCCUGACUGGUGGUAGUAGAGGUCCCCGAAGAGGGGUGACUCCUCCUAUAGCAGGCCAGUCAACAUGAGCUGGAAGAUGGGUCCUAAUAGGGUUCAGCAUCUCCAUAUCUCCAUACCCUGUCUGGACUACCGGUGCCAGCUGCGUCAGAGCCGUCCACAGACGGGCACGUGUAGCAUAGAGUUCCAUACGAAGGGCACGAGCAUCCUUGUCUCUAUUCUCUAGCAUCUCAGCAGUGGACUGCAGCAGCGGAUCCUCCAUAGAGGAAUCAAAGUAGACCCCACCGAGGUAUCCUUCUUCACCUGGCUGAUAGGCAGGAACAUAACAUAACUCUGAAUUCUGCAGCAGUGCAUGUCUAGCCCUCAUGAUGGUCAGCAUUGAAUAGGCAGCAUCUUGUACUACCAUGUCAACAGUGACCCCCAAUCCAUAAGAUCAAUGGAUGGGCUCCUCAGCUCCAGGGUAAUCUGGGAAUACCCUAACAGUGCAGAGGUACUGGCUCUGAUUAAAAUCCCGGUACUGCUACUCCACUGUGUACUCUGGGUACCAGCGGUAACCGGACACUGACAUCAUCCUGACAAGCAUGGCCGUAUGACCCGGCACAUCAAUGCACCUAGUCAGACGAACCACCUGACGAGAAGGACGGCCAGGCAUCUGAAAAUAGAGAGUAAUGCAAAAGCAUUGGAGCUGUGAAGACAAAAUUGGGCAGCAUAGCGGCUGUAAAUGCUCAAAAACAAUUUUGAGACAACCCAUAAAAUAGGAUAGCGUAACCACUCAACUAUCAAGUUCAAUUCUCUGAUCAUCAAAACUUACUUCCUUUUCCUAGGGAUAAAAGAAACCCGAAAUAACUCUCGACCCGUUGUCCUAUAAUCUGCCGAUCAAAAACACGAGCCUAAGAGAAGGUAAGUAACCUAGUCCUUAAUCCCCGCAGAAAAGAGGAGGAUGACCAGAAUAGAAUAACUUGAGAAGAGAAGCAAGAGUCUUACGUUCCCUUCCACAAACAAUUCCCUUAUAUAUAACUAAAGCAAUUCUAUACUCAACUUCGACCAGUUUGGCUUAGUAAUCCUAUAGUCAGUUAGGCUCUGUUACCAACGCUGGCGGGACACCGAUCCUAAGCCAUAGGAAUCUAGCAUCUAACACAUCGCAUCUCUUUGUGGUCUCACGCACGGUUAUCCCCACGGCUGCAUCCUUACCUUAGCCGGGACCGUUUGAGCCUUUUGACUCGUGUAUGCAGUUGUGUCGCUAGCAAUCCAAUGACAAAGAACCCGGAUCGACAUGUCUAGUCAUAAACCAAAGCGGCAGUUCCGCACAAGGAUAGGCAUACAUGACCCAGCAAAGCAGGUGUCGGUCAUCAGCCAAUGUAGACGAGUCGUAGCAAGCUACAAGGACUCCAUUACAUCGCGUGNNNNNNNNNNUUCAGUUCAACCAAUUCAAAUUCAGUUCAGUUGAAUUCCAAAUUAAUUAAACAAGAUUAGAAAAUAGUCCGCCUACAUUCAUAUUGUAGUUCGAUAACUUCCAAUUCAAUUCACUUGAAUCGAAUUUUACUUAUGAUAAAUUCUAGUUCACCAAAUUCAAAUAUAGUGCCCUUGAAUUCAAAAUUAUGUCGGGACCCCGAUCCUAAGCCAUAGGAAUCCAGCGUGUAACACAUCGCAUCUCUUUGCGGUCUCACGCACGGUUAUCCCCACGGAUGCAGCCUUACCUUAGCCGAGACCGUUUGCGCCUUUUGACUCGCGUAUGCAAUUGUGUCGCUAGCAAUCCAAUGACAAAAAACCCGGAUCGACAUGUCUAGUCAUAAACCAAAGCGGUAGUUCCGCACAGGGACAUGCAUACAUGACCCAGCAAAGCAGGUGUCGGUCAUCAGCGAAUGUAGACGAGUUGUAGCAAGCUACAAGGACUCCAUUACAUCGCGUGACAUUUCCCAAAAGGGACAGACAUAGCAGCUAAGAAGGACACAUGCCAGUCAACCAAUGUGUCCGGAGCAGUAGCGAACUACCAUGGCUCGUUGGAAUCACAAAGAGGCAUUUCCCUGUAAGGAGUGCUACUAAAGCCUACGGCUAGGUAUUCGAACCCCAUACAUAUCAGGUACAACAUACGUACGCAUGGCAUACCGAUAUGUAUAGAUACAUCGAUGACAUCACAACAUAACCAUAAACAUACAAACUUUAUUUAGAAGGUUCGGAAGAGCCACACACAUAAUAUUACAAGGUAGGGGUCUCACGACCCAUCAUCACAAGUCAUACACACAAUUCUUAAAAACCAGCGGAAGAGUAAAGUUGUCUGAGUACAGACAUAUGGAAAGAUAAAGGCACAUGGCCUGACUAUCUACAGACCCAUCCUAGGGCGAGAUCGUAGAUGGGAUACCAGCUACUCGUCGUCGUCGAUGUCUAGGUAGAACCCUCCAUUAGGGUCAUUAACAUCCUCUGCAAGAAUUUAUUAAGAAAACGUGAGUAGAAAAGUACUCAACAAGACUUUAGGAUAAACUAUCUACUCAUGCAAUGUAUCAAUAAGGAANNNNNNNNNNGGGCAUUUCCCUGUAAGGAGUGCUACUAAAGCCUACGACUAGGUAUUCGAACCCCAUACAUAUCAAGUACAACGUACGUACGCAUGGCAUACCAAUAUGUAUAGAUACAUCGAUGGCAUCACAACAUAACCAUAAACAUACAAACUUUAUUUAGAAGGCUCGGAAGAGCCACACACAUAAUAUUACAAGGUAGGGGUCUCACGAGCCAUCAUCACAAGUCAUACACACAAUUCUUACAAACCAGCGGAAGAGUAAAGUUGUCUGAGUACAGACAGAUGGAAAGAUAAAGGCACAUGGCCUGACUAUCUACACACCCAUCCUAGGGCCAGAUCGUAGCUGGGAUACCAGCUACUCGUCAUCAUCGAUGUCUAGGUAGAACCCUCCAUUAGGGUCAUUAACAACCUCUGCAACAAUUUAUUAAGCAAACGUGAGUAGAAAAGUACUCACCAAGACUUUAGGAUAAACUAUCUACUCAUGCAAUGUAUCAAUAAGGAAUUGUGGGGUUUCAUGCGGAAAGCCAGCAUUUGACUAGUGGCUGGACAACUUGCAUUUUUAAAUAGUUUUGACAACUCCGAUUUCUCUCACACGAGUCCACUAACACCACAACAAUACUCCAUCGUGGAAUCAUUCCGUCUCCAUACGGAAAUGCCGUCCACNNNNNNNNNNACAUUUGACUCAUGGCUAGACAACUUGCAUUUUUAAAUAGUUUUGACAACUCUGAUUUCUCGCACAUGAGUCCACUAACACCAUAACUAUACUCCAUCGUGGAAUCAUUCCGUCUCCAUACGGAAAUGCCGUCCACGACACUCGCGUUUAUCUUGACAAUUUUAUGAGUAGCCAUUAUAGUUAUCUAUGAACAACAUAUGUCUCCAAGUAGUCCAUAUCCGAGGACGCGGCUAUUCUAAUAGAUCAUAACCCUGUAGGGGUGUACUUCUUCACACAUGCUCUCGCCACUUAUCGCCAUGUGCACGUCAUACACCUCGGCAACCUUCAAGCGGAAGCCCAGCGAGGGAGUCGGCCACGACCGUUAACCACGCUAAUACUUGGUCCAGGUCUAUCGCCUAUCUGAGAGUAACCGCACGGAAGUCCGGCCGAGGUUUCCACCACGGCCCCAAACGAUGUGCGCAGGGUUCCCAAGCCCACCAUCCGGGUGCCACUUGGUACACCGUGCACUACCGGCCGCAGCAUAGCCCACCUCUAAGGUCAGCGCUACGCACGGCCGCCAGCAUGACUAUAAACACCAGAAACUACUUGCAACUCCUGGACUGAGUACUAAGCUAUUAAUAAGUCGAGAGGGUCAAUUAAGUAUCCCAACGUGUGGUAGUAUNNNNNNNNNNNNNNNNNNNNNNNNNNNNNNNNNNNNNNNNNNNNNNNNNNNNNNNNNNNNNNNNNNNNNNNNNNNNNNNNNNNNNNNNNNNNNNNNNNNNCUUUUGAUACCUUGCAUGUGUGCCCGUCUGUGGACGGCUUUGACGCAGCUGGCACCGGUAGUCCAGACAGGGUAUGGAGAGAUGGAGAUGUUGAACCCUGUUAGGACCCAUCUUCCGGCUCACGUUGACUGGCCAGCUAUAGGAGGAGUCACACCUCUUCGGGGACCCCUCUUACCACCAGUCAGAGGACCAAGGCCACAUGUUGAGGCAUAGUUUAUGCCUAAGUAAUUUUGGUGAUUGAUGACAGUACCGUACAGGACUAAUCAUGUGUGUCAAGGUUUCAGGUAACACUCGUCAACGGCACAAGACGACUCAUCUCCUCUCUUCUGGAACGGAAGCACGGCGCUCUCUACGAUUCUCUUUAUUUAAGUCAUAGGAAAGCCGUACUAUUAAGAGGGGAUCCGUAGUGGAAAGGUUUGGGUGGAAUCUAUCUUUACACACGCACACUUUGCAUUCUCCCUUUCCUUAUCUUUUGGAGCGGCCCUCGCCUAUUCAUCUUGAGCAUCUCUGCAAAUGGUCCCCAGCGGUAGUACCGCUGGUGCCAGCGGUAGUACCGCUGGACUGCGAGCGGUAGUACCGCUGCAGCCAGCGGUAGUACCGCUGUCUGGCGGUAGUACCGGCCAUUGUCAGCGGUAGUACCGCNNNNNNNNNNNNNNNNNNNNNNNNNNNNNNNNNNNNNNNNNNNNNNNNNNNNNNNNNNNNNNNNNNNNNNNNNNNNNNNNNNNNNNNNNNNNNNNNNNNNNNNNNNNNNNNNNNNNNNNNNNNNNNNUUGUUCCACCUACCUAGCGGUAGUUCGUGGACGGACCCUUUUGCGAAGACUUUCCCGGCGGUAGUAGUGCUUAUGCACUACCAAGGGGCCAGCGGUAGUAUCGCUGGUGCUAGCGGUAGUACCGCUGGAAGCCCCAGCGGUAGUACCGCUGCAUCCAGCGGUAGUACCGCCAGGCAGCGGUAGUACCGCUCCUUCCCAGCGGUAGUACCGCUGGAUCUCGGGCAGAGAGUGGGAAAACGGUCUGAAUUUUCCCCCCUCUAUAUAAAGGGUUCUUCUAGCUGAGGAACCCUAUCUCUUACCUCUCUAAGCUCCAUUGUUGCUCCACAAGCUUAAAAGUGCCCAAUCUCUCUCCCUAGCCAAUCAAACUUGUUGAUUCUUUAGGGAUUGGUUGAGAAGGCCUAGAUCCACACUUCCACCAAGAGAAAAGUUGAUUCCCCCACCUAUCCCUUGCGGAUCUUGUUACUCUUGGGUGUUUGAGCAUCCUAGACGGUUGAGGUCACCUCGAAGCCAUAUUCCAUUGUGGUGAAGCUUCGUGGUCUUGUUGGGAGCCUCCAAGCUUUGUGUGGAGUUGCCCCGACCUUGUUUGUAAAGGUUCGGUCGCCGCCUUCAAGGGCACCUAUAGUGGAAUCACGGUACCUUGCAUCGUGCGAGGGCGUGAGGAGAAUACGGUGGCCUUAGUGGCUUUUUGGGGAGCAUUGUGCCUCCACACCGCUCCAACGGAGACGUACUUCCUGUCAAAGGGAAGGAACUUCGGUAACACAUCCUCGUCUCCAUCGGUUCCACUUGUGGUUAUCUCUAACCUUUACUUUGUAUUUUCUUUUACUUGUGACUAUAUCUUACUUGUCUUAAUAGGUCUUGUUGGUAGCUUCUAUAGGGGUCACCUCUUUGUCAUAUUAUUUGUGAACCCGUAUAGUGUUUACCUUAACUUGUUAAGAUUAAUUAAAAAGUGGACGUUGUCUAUUCACCCCCCCCCCCNNNNNNNNNNGGGACCAAGGCCACAUCCGUGUCCUUAUGGAUCCCAGGGAUCUCAGGCUAGAGUGUUUCCUGAUCCGCAGGUUGAGCUUCCAGGCCAUGGAGGUAAUCUCUAUGAGAUGUUCUAUGCGGAUGCCUGAGCUGUGAGCGGAAGGAUAGCAUGGUAGUAGCCGUACGUUCAUAGUCCUGCGUGACUUGUUAAGUAUGUCUGUAAUGUGAAAUGAAUUCCGGAGGCCUAGAUAAAUAAUGUAUAGGAAGCUUGUAAGCCUCUGAUGAGNNNNNNNNNNUAUGGUAGUAGCCGUACGUUCACAGUUCUGCGUGACUUGUGAAGUAUGUAUGUACUGUGAAAUGAAUUCUGGAGGCCUAGAUAAAUAAUGUAUAGGCAGCUUGUAAGCCUCUGAUGAGUAGUUUCACAAUUUCAGUAGUUUGCUCUUCGGUUAAGGUUGUACUGAACUAUGUAAGGGUGUGUAUGAACCAUGGUGUAUAUAUAGCAGUUGCUUGUUACCAUGCUGUUUGGAUAUUCAUUUCCGCAUUCCGUGUGUUCAGUACAUUCUUAAUCCAUAGCUAGUAUUGAUAUGAUAUUGGUCUAAGCUAUGAGUUUGUUUGUCAGGAUGGUGUUCACCAGGUUGAACCGUGCCCCUGCUCAUGAGCAAGGCGAGGGUAGUCAAGCGUCGCAGGAAGACCUGCCUCACCCGCCUUCUCUGGUGGAAGUGAUGCUUGAGGCAGAGAGAAAUAAAAGGGUGACCAACCGACUGCUAGAGCGUAUUGAGAAGAAUACGGCUCGUCAGCCUAGGAAUGCUGCAGUGUCCCUUAAUGACUUUGUGAAGUUGAAUCCUCCAAAGUUUCAUCAUUCCGUCGAUCCCCUCGACGCUGAUGACUGGUUGUGCAGCAUCUCACGCAAGAUUCGCUCUGCGAAUUUGUCUGAGGCCGACAAGGUGACCUUUGCGGCAUAUUUCCUGGAGGGACCCGCCAAUCUAUGGUGGGAGAACUUUGAAGCUAUGCGUCCCGCUGAACCAGUAGCCACAUGGGCAGACUUCAGUGCAGCUUUUCCUCUACACCAUAUUCCAGAGGGCCUGAUGGACAGAAAGAGAGAGGAGUUAUGUGCCUUCACUCAGGGCAAGUUGUAUGUGGAUGCCUAUAGCCACGAGUUCGGUAACCUCGCCCGCUAUGCAACAGAGGAGGUGUCUACUGACGCCAAGAAGCAAGCAAGAUUCCGUAAGGGCCUGAGCCCUGAGCUCCGUCGUGAUCUGCGCCUCCAUGAGUGUGCAAGCUUUCAAGCCCUAGUCAACAAAGCGGUCAGUGCCAAGACUGGUCAUACUGACUUCGAAGCCACAAGGAAGCAUUCCCAUGACUUUGGCUCGUCUUCUGGUUCCGCGUUCCCAAAACGCAGGCUGUGGGUUCCAAACAGUUCUCUGCCGCCAAGAUACACUCCGAGGCCAUCCUACGUGGCGCCUNNNNNNNNNNGUUGGUCUAAGCUAUGAGUUUGUUUGUGAGGAUGGUGUUCACCAGGUUGAACCGUGCCCCUGCUCAUGAGCAAGGUGAGGGUAGUCAAGCGUCGCAGUAAGACUUGCCUCACCCACCUUCUCUGGUAGAAGUGAUGCUUGAGGCAGAAAGAAACAAAAGGGAGACCAACCGACUGCUAGAGCAUAUUGAGCAGAAUACGGCUCGACAGCCUAGGAAUGCUGCAGUGUCCCUCAAUGACUUUGUGAAGCUGAAUCCUCCAAAGUUUCAUCAUUCCGUCGAUCCCAUCGACGCUGAUGACUGGUUGUGCAGCAUCUCACGCAAGAUUCGCUCUGAGAAUGUGUCUGAGGCCGACAAGGUGACCUUUGCGGCGUAUUUCCUGGAAGAACCCGCCAAUCUGUGGUGGGAGAAUUUUGAAGCUAUGCGUCCCGCUGAACCAGUGGCCACAUGGGCAGACUUCAGUGCAGCUUUUCGUCUGCACCAUAUUCCAGAGGGCCUGAUGGACAGAAAGAGAGAGGAGUUAUGUGCCUUCACUCAGGGCAAGUUGUCUAUCGAUGCCUAUAGCCGCGAGUUCGGUAACCUCGCCCGCUAUGCAACAAAGGAGGUGUCUACUGACGCCAAGAAGCAAGCAAGGUUUCGUAAGGGUCUGAGCCUGAGCUCCGUCGUGAUCUGCGCCUCCAUGAGUGUGCAAGUUUUCAAGCCCUAGUCAACAAAGCGAUCAGUGUCGAGACUGGUCAUACUGACUUCGAAGCCACAAGGAAGCAUUCCCGUGACUUUGGCUCGUCUUCUGCUUUCGCGUUCCCGAAACGCAGGCUGUGGGUUCCGAACAGUUCUCUGCCACCAAGAUACACUCCGAGGCCAUCCUACGUGGCGCCUCAGACGAAUCAGGCCAACCCUCCAGCAAAAGCUUAUGGUGGUCCAGCUAGCAAUGCUGCACCACGUGCCAACCAAGUGAUAUGCUACAAGUGUGGAGAGCCAGGGCACUAUUCCCGUGAGUGUCCUCGGAAUGUGGGUGCCAAGCAACCCGGAAAGUCCGUCGGGCAAGCCAAGUCNNNNNNNNNNGGUGAUAUGCUCCAAGUGUGGAGAACCAGUGCACUAUUCCCGUGAGUGUCCUCAGAAUGUGGGUGCCAAGCAACCCGGAAAGUCCGUCGGGCAGGCCAAGUCGGGCAAAGCUUUCUAUGUGAAGCCAACUCCUGCACGUGGCUGUGUGAACUAUGUGGCAGCAGAAGAAGCUGCAGAGGAUCCCGACGUCAUGCUGGGUACGCUUCUUGUUAAUCAUCACCCAGCGUCCGUUCUCUUUGACACUGGGUCUUCUCAUUCCUUCAUUUCAGAAAGUUAUGCACAGUUGCAUAACAUGUCUUUUUGUGAUAUGCCAAUUCCAUUGGUUGUCCAAACCCCUCGUAGUAAAUGGCAAACCUCUAGGAUAACCUAUGACAAUGAAAUUCUAGUAGACAGGCUAGUUUUUCUAGCCUCGUUGAUAGCCUUGAAAUCUUCGGAUAUUAAUAUCAUCUUGGGCAUGGACUGGAUGUCANNNNNNNNNNUAGGCUAGUUUUUCUGGCCUCAUUGAUAGCAUUGAAAUCUUCGGAUAUUAAUAUCAUCUUGGGCAUGGACUGGAUGUCAGCUCACUAUGCCAAGAUUGAUACUCAUUCUAGAAAUGUCCAGCUUACCCAUCCCUCGGGUGAGAUAGUAAAUGUCUCCACUCGAGUUGCCAAAUUCCAGCUCUACUCCCUAAAUGCCAACCCUCUUCCGGAACUUGAAGACAUUCCGGUAGUGCGUGACUUUCCGAAUGUUUUUCCAGAGGAACUGCCAGGAAUUCCACCUGACAGAGAUGUAGAGUUUGUCAUAGAUCUUGUUCCGGGAACUGUCCCAAUAGCCAGAAGACCAUAUAAGAUGGCACCCCUGGAGCUAGCCGAACUUAAAAAGCAACUAGAUGAGGCCUUGAACAAAGGUUUCAUUCAUCCUAGCUCUUCUCCCUGGGCUUGCCCCGUUCUCUUCGUCAAGAAGAAAGACGGAACGGAUCGGAUGGUUGUAGAUUACCGACCAGUUAAUCUGGUCACCAUAAAGAACAAGUAUCCGCUCCCCAGGAUCAANNNNNNNNNNNNNNNNNNNNNNNNNNNNNNNNNNNNNNNNNNNNNNNNNNNNNNNNNNNNNNNNNNNNNNNNNNNNNNNNNNNNNNNNNNNNNNNNNNNNNNNNNNNNNNNNNNNNNNNNNNNNNNNNNNNNNNNNNNNCGUUACUCGUUAUGGCCAAUACGAGUACACCGUCAUGUCCUUCGGUUUGACCAAUGCCCCACCCACCUUCUCUCGACUAAUGAAUUCAAUCUUCAUGGAGUAUUUGGAUAAAUUUGUCAUGGUAUACCUCGAUGAUAUUCUCAUCUACUCGAAGAAUGAACAAGAACAUGCCGAGCAUCUAAGGCUGGUAUUGAUGAAACUUCGAGAGCAUCGCCUUUAUGCCAAGUUUUCAAAAUGUGAAUUCUGGUUACCAUAAGUGACCUAUCUAGGACACGUAAUCUCUCGUAAGGGUAUUGCUGUCAAUCCCGAGAGAGUUCCAGCUGUCCUUGAUUGGACUCAACCUGAAUCGGUUAAGCAAGUUAGGAGNNNNNNNNNNCGUUACCAGAAGUGACCUAUCUAGGCCACGUAAUCUCUGGUAAGGGUAUUGUUGUCAAUCCCGAGAGAGUUCAAGCUGUCCUUGAUUGGACUCAACCUGAAUCGGUUAAGCAAGUUAGGAGUUUUCUUGGUCUAGCGAGCUAUUGUCGCCGCUUUGUCGAGAAUUUCUCCAAGGUUCCAAAGCCCCUAACUGAACUCCUCAAGAAAGAUGAAAAGUUCGAGUGGACACCACAGUGUGAGCAUAGUUUUCACGAACUGAAAAGACGCCUGACUUCCGCACCUGUGUUGCUACCACCAAAUUUUUCUAAGGACUUUAUUAUCUAUUAGGACGCCUCGCGACAAGGAUUAGGUUGCAUUCUCAUGCAAGAUCGUCAUNNNNNNNNNNCCUCUAACUGAACUCUUCAAGAAAGAUAAAAAGUUCGAGUGGACUCCACAGUGUGAGCAUAGUUUUCAGGAACUGAAAAGACGCCUGACUUCCGCACCUGUGUUGCUACCACCAGAUUUCUCUAAGGACUUUGUUAUCUAUUGCGAUGCCUCGCGACAAGGAUUAGGUUGCAUUCUCAUGCAAGAUCGUCAUNNNNNNNNNNGCAAGGCCUCUAACUGAACUCCUCAAGAAAGAUAAAAAGUUCGAGUGGACACCACAGUGUGAGCAUAGUUUUCAGGAACUGAAAAGACGCCUGACUUCCNNNNNNNNNNCGCAUACGCAUCUCGACAGUUGCGUCCACAUGAGGAUAAUUAUCCCACACAUGACCUUGAGCUUGCAGCUGUGGUCCAUGCACUAAAAACUUGGCAACAUUACCUUCUGGGUAAUCGUUGCGAAAUAUUCACUGAUCACCAAAGUCUGAAAUAUAUCUUCACCCAGCCGGAUUUGAAUCUCAGGCAAAGACGGUGGGUUGAGUUGAUCUCGGAUUACGACUUAGGGAUAACUUACACCCCGGGGAAGGCCAAUGUUAUGGCCGAUGCGCUAAGUCGUAAAUCUUAUUGUAACAAUUUGAUGCUACAACAAGGUCAACCACAUCUCUAUAAGGACUUUCGGAAGUUGAAUCUUCAUAUUGUUCCUCAAGGAUUCCUUUCUACCCUGGUGGCGAAGCCUACUCUAAAGGAUCAAAUUAUAGCUGGCCAAAAGCGUGACAAGGGUAUAUCACGGAUCAAGGAGAAUAUGUUUAGCGGAAACGCUAAAGAAUUUUCCAUGAACGAUCAAGGUGUUGUGUUCUUCCAGAAUCGUUUAGUGGUUCCUAAGAACCCACAUCUAAGAAGAGGCUCAUGAUUCUCCUCUCACCAUUCAUCCCGGUAGUACUAAGAUGUAUCAGGACCUACGCCAGAGGUUCUGGUGGACUAGGANNNNNNNNNNAUGCAGGCAUAUGAUAAGGGUAUAUCCCGGAUCAAGGAGAAUAUUGCUAGCGGCAACGCUAGGGAUUUCUCCAUCAAUGAGAAAGGUGUUGUGUUCUUUCAUAACUGUUUAGUGGUUUCCAAGAGCAAACGUCUGCGGCAAUUGAUCCUUAAGGAGGCUCAUGAUUCUCCUCUCACCGUUCAUCCCGGUGGUACUAAGAUGUAUCAGGACCUACGCCAGAGGUUCUGGUGGACUAGGAUGAAGAGAGAAAUUGCUGAGUUAGUUGCUAACUGCGACGUCUGUCGUCGAGUUAAGGCAGAACAUCAAAGGCCUGCUGGCACCCUUCAGCCUCUAGCUAUUCCUGAAUGGAAAUGGGAUAAAGUUAGCAUGGAUUUCAUUACCGGAUUUCCCAAGACCAAGAAAGGAAAUAAUGCUAUCUUUGUGGUCNNNNNNNNNNAAAUACCGGAUUUCCCAAGACCAAGAAAGGGAAUAAUGCUAUCUUUGUGGUCAUUGACCGUCUUUCCAAAGUGGCUCAUUUUCUUCCUAUUCGUGAGAGUAUAACAGCUAGCCAGCUAGCAGAGUUAUAUAUCUCUCGAAUAGUGUCUCUUCAUGGUGUUCCCCUGGAGAUUAACUCGGACCGUGGAAGUAUCUUUACUUNNNNNNNNNNGGCUCAUUUUCUUCCCGUUCGUGAGACUAUAACAGCUAGCCAGCUAGCAGAAUUAUAUAUCUCUCGAAUAGUGUCUCUUUAUGGUGUUCCCCUGGAGAUUAACUCGGACCGUGGAAGUAUCUUUACUUCUCGCUUCUGGGAAAGUUUUCAGAAUGCCAUGGGGACUCACCUAUCUUUUAGCAGUGCUUUCCAUCCCCAAUCAAGUGGUCAAGUAGAAAGAGUGAAUCAAAUUCAAGAAGAUAUGCUCCGAGCUUGUGUUAUAUCGUUCGGUAUGAAUUAGGAGAAGUGUCUUCCAUUCUCCGAAUUCGCUUAUAACAAUAGUUAUCAAUCGAGCUUGGGCAAAGCCCCUUUUGAAGUUCUCUAUGGACGAAGAUGUCGANNNNNNNNNNCCUAGAAGAUAUGCUCUGAGCUUGUGUUAUUUCGUUCGGUAUGAAUUGGGAGAAGUGCCUUCCAUUCGCCGAAUUCGCUUAUAACAAUAGUACCAAUCAAGCUUGGGCAAAGCCCCUUUUGAAGUUCUCUAUGGACGAAGAUGUCGAACACCCCUAAAUUGGUCAGAAACCGGAGAGAGGCAACUCUUUGGCCCGGAUAUGAUCNNNNNNNNNNCAUGAGCCAGGAUGCAGAAGAGCAAGUUCGCAUCAUUCAUGAAAAGUUGAAAACAGCCCAGUCUCGUCAAAAGAGCCAAUAUGAUCGUCAUCAUAAGGUUGUGACCUUUGAAGUUGACGAGAAGGCUUACCUUCGGGUUACACCUUUGAAGGGUACCCAUCGAUUCGGUAUCAAGGGCAAAUUGGCUCCUCGUUACAUUGGUCCUUUUCGCAUUCUUGCCAAACGAGGAGAAGNNNNNNNNNNAUUUCCAAGGUUCAUGAUGUUUUCCACGUCUCGCAACUCACGCGCUGCUUUUCGGAUCCUAUCCGUGAAGUGGACCACGAAACGCUUGAUCUCCAAGAUAACCUUUCAUACCGAGAAUACCCCGUGCGUAUUCUUGAUCAAGCUGAGCGUACCACUCGACGUCGAAACCCCAAGUUUCUUAAAGUACAAUGGUCAAAUCAUUCUGAAAAGGAGGCACCUUGGGAAGGAGAGGAUCAUCUCCGACUUGAGUAUCCUGCGUUAUUCCCGACGACUUCUAAAUCUCGGGACGAGAUUCUUUUGAGUGGGGGUGAGUUGUCACAUCCCUGACACCUUAAGCAAGUUAGUCUUGUGCUCAUGUCUUCUUUGCAUUUGCAUCUAAGAAUUUUCAACAAGAACAAGAAAGUGGCAAAGGAAAAAAACUCAAAACCCUAGCCACUACUUUAAAUAAAGAAAAUCUCAAACUAGUUAAAAUCAAUGAACCCAAAAUGGCCUCAAGAAAUGUUCAAACUUUCUGAUAAAUCAGGAAAGUAAAUGAGCAUUGGAGAAAACUAUUUUCUUGACACUUUAAGCAUUUUAAAUUAAUGCAAAAGCCACUCAUUUCAAACUUUAAAAUUUGAAAUCAGAAACUAUAAACUUUCAAAAAUGUUGAAAACUUUGGAAAUGGUUGGGAAUAUUAUAACAAAUAUUCAGGUGUGUUUAAAAUAAUUUUUUACCACCAUUUUGGAGCUGAAAUAAAUAGCAAAUCAAUGUUAGAAAUUAACACAGAAAUAAAACAGAAGGAAAUGAAAAAAAAAAAGCUUACCUGUCGCCUAGCCUGGCCCGGCCCAUCUCCCCGAGUCAUCCCCUCCCUCGCGCCAGUAGGAGCACGAGGUGGCCGCCGCCUCCUCCGGCGCGGCCACGCACCUGUGCGCCUGCCUGGCCGCCGCCUCGCGCUGGCAAGGCCGGGGAUAAGCUCCCCGAGGCCUCCUCUAUCCAUUCCUAGCGAUACCUCUCUCCCUCCUCUCGGAUCUUUUCCUCCUCCUGCUGCCGCCAUUACCACGAGCUCGAGCUCGAGCCGCAGCGCUUCUAGCCACGGGAGCAUUCCUCCGGCUAGUCCGUUAGCUCCGCCUCGUCGUUCUGGUCCUCUCUGCAGAAGCCGAAGCUUCCCCGAGCUCUGCAUCGCCCCAACGCCAUCGUCUUCCACCUCCGGCCGCCGGAACUCUCCCGUCGAUUCGCUCCCUCCAGCGCACCCCCGAGCCCCUCAACAACACCAUCGGAACCGCCGUGAGCUCGUCGUCGUUUCCCCUCUCGCCCCACGCUCUUACGUGCAUCGUAGCCCCGUUCCCCACCAAGGCCGAGAGCUCCUCAUCGUCGGUCAUGUCGUCGCCGUCGCUGUGGUGUUUGAUCCACGCGCUCGAGCUAGGGUUCGAGCUCCUGGAGCCUCCAGGAGCGUGAUGAGCCCCUCAGCUGCCCUCCCCGUGCCCUAGAGCCAUCGCUCGUAGAAGGCCGAGCUUCGGCCGCCGCUUCGGCUCGUCGCCGGCGCCUCUUCCGGCGACCCUAGCCACCCCUGAUGCCCCUGCCAGAUCGGCCACUUCGCCAGCGUUCCGUAGCUGCAAACCGCGUUCGAUUUGGUGUUGUGCAGCGCCGUUUAGGUCGUCUCCGGCGAGCCCUCCGCCGCGGGCUUGGUCGCCGGCGACCACCCUCCGGUGGGCGUCGACGUGGCCGACCAUUAGGGCGUAAUUGCCCUCCCCUCAGUUGCUGCCAGAGGGCCCCACGCCUGGUCAAACCCCAAUUAGGGGCUGGUCAGCGCGGGGUUAGCCCCUGGGUCACUGACCAGAGGGGCCCCCUAUCAGGUUUGACCUGAACAGGUCGGCUGACCUGCUGACGUUAGUCUGAUGCAAUAAAAAGAAUUUCCAGUAUAGAAAUAAUUCCAGUAAAUUGCUAAAACUUGUAAAAAUCAUAGAUAUUAAUCUGUAACUCCAAUGAAAAAUAAUUUAUAUAUGAAAAAGUAUCAGAAAAAUUCAAGGAUUCUGAUUAUGCUAUUUUCAACCAUGUUUGAAAAAGUUACAGAACCCUAAAAUGUGGAAUAAGGAAUAAUUCAAUUCUUAUAAUUACUUUUUAAAUGGAAUUUGGAAAAUUAUUCAAAUUUCAUUAUGAAUGCAAUGAUCACACACUGUCCUAGUUACAAAUCAGUACCCUAACAUGACAUCUCAUGCAUGCUAACUUCAAGUUGAUCUGAGCCUCACGUCGAAUCAAUUAAAACGGUACCCGUGAAUACCCCGUUUCAAUUGAUAUUCGAAUGUGAUUCAAAUCAACUCUAAACCUAAUACAUGUUGAAAAUAAUAACUUAUCACUUUGCAUUCUCAUGCCAUGCUCAUGCAUCAUUUUGUUUGCAUGUGAUUGUUAUUGAAUGUUGCUAUUCAUUUCGGUAGGCUCCGCACCCUCGGAUUCCACCGAAUAUCCCUCUGACGGAUAUCGUUCCUCCUCUGAGCAACAAGGCAAGCAACCCUUUUGAUCAUCCCGAUAAAUCCAAUGUUCUUGCUCCUGCACCUAUUUAUUUCAUUAAGAUCAAAUGCUUCAACUUCUUUUGCCACGAUAGUUGAACCCACUUCCUUUGCAAGACCUAACCUUGUCAUAGUAAAUAGCCGAACCUUGCAACCUAGCAUACAUGAUAGUUGCUUGAGCUAUGAUGUGCCUUAUCCUGCUAUGCAUGCUAUGCUUAGAGUUGUGUAUGNNNNNNNNNNCAGAUUGUGAGAACGUGUUCGGUAAGCAAAGGUUGUGUGUUGAACUUGAUUUGGUAAAGGUACCGGUGAAAGGCUGUGUAGGAGUACAUGGCGGGUUGUUUCAUUGGAACCGUCCAUAGGAACUGAGUUCCGUGUAUGUCAUCCAAGACUAGAUACUACCACAUGCUUGGCCGUGAAAUACGACCCCGCUCGGCCUAUUAAUCGCGCAGUACUCGGUCCAGGAGUUGCAAGUAGUUUCUGGUGUUUAUAGUAAUGCUGGAGGCCGUGCAUGGUGCUGACCUGAGAGGUGGGCCGUGAUGCGGUAGGUAGUGGCACGGUGUACCAAGUGGCACCCGGAUGGUGGGCUUGGGAACCCGCGCACAUCGUUUGAGGCCGUGGAGGAAACCUCGGCCGGACUUCCGUACGGGUUACUCUCAGAUAGGCGAUAAACCUGGACUAGGUACUAGUGUGGUUAACGGUCGUGGCCGACUCCCUCGCUGGGCCUCCGCUUGAAGGUUGCCGAGGUGCAUGACGUGCACAUGGCGAUAAGUGGCGAGAGCGUGUGUGACGAAGUACACCCCUGCAGGGUUAUGAUCUAUUCGAAUAGCCGCGUCCGCGGAUAUGGGCUACUUGGAGACAUGUGUUGUUCAUAGAUAACUUCAAUGGCUACUCCUAAAAUUAUCAAGAUAAGCGUGAGUGUCGUGGACGACAUUUCCGUAUGGAGACGGAAUGAUUCCACGAUAGUGUAUUGUUGUGGUGUUAGUGGACUCGUGUGNNNNNNNNNNNNNNNNNNNNCGGAAUGAUUCCAAGAUAGUGUAUUGUUGUGGUGUUAGUGGACUCGUGUGCGAGAAAUCAAGNNNNNNNNNNNNNNNNNNNNNNNNNNNNNNNNNNNNNNNNNNNNNNNNNNNNNNNNNNNNNNNNNNNNNNNNNNNNNNNNNNNNNNNNNNNNNNNNNNNNUUAAAAAUAAAAAUAAUGUGGUUUUUGGAAGACAUUUUGAUAAUAGGUUUUAAAUAAAAUAAUUGGUGCAAAAUAAAUUCCCUAAUUGGAGUACUUGUAGUACAAAUCUCAUCUGAGGGGUUUGAAAGUUUAAUCCAAAGAAAUUCUUUUCAGUAAAAAUAUUUUUUGGUACAAAUAGAUACUGGUCCUAAACACAUGGCAUGAUCAUUAAGGAGGAGAACAUGGGCUAAGGAGGUGAGUUGGAGAAUAGCACGAAAUUAUUGGGAAGCUACCACAUGCAUACAAGCAAGCAGGCAAAGAAUAGUCACUUUAAACAUCACAAGCAUUCACAAAAUUUUUAAUUGGUCCUAAUAUUUGAAAUAAGUUAAUUAGUCAGGAAAGCUAAACACACGGUCUUACAAUGAACUAGAAUUUACUAAAAGUAAAAUUUGAUUCAAGUGAAGUCAAUUUGAAGUUGCUGAACUAUAAUUUGAAUGAUGUGAACUAGUUUCAAAUCUUGUUGAACUAAUAUUGAAGUGAAGAUAACUCAAUUUGAAUUUGAUGAACUAGAAUUCAAUAGAAGUAAUAUUCGAUUCAAGUGGACUGAAUUUGAAGUUGUUGAGAUACAAUAUGAAUGUAGGUGAACUAUUUUCAAAUCUUGUAGAACUAAUUUUAAAUUCAAUUGAACUCAAUUUCAACUAGUUGAACUAAAAAUUAAAUGUUGGUGAACUACUUUCCAAUUUUGUUGAACUAAUUUUGAAUUCAAGGGAACUGUAUUUGAAUUUGUUGAACUAGAAUUUAUUAGAAGUAAAAUUCGAUUCAAGUGAACUGAAUUUGAAGUUGUGGAAUGACAAUUUGAAUGUAGGUGAACUAGUUUCAAUUCUUGUUGAACUAAUUUUGAAUUCAAUGGAAUUGUAUUAGAGUAUGUUGAACUAGAAUUUAAUAGAAGUUACAUACGAUUCAAGUGAACUAAAUUUGAAGGUGUUGAACUACAAUUUGAAUGUAGGUCAACUAGUUUCAAAUAUUUUCUGAACUAAUUUUAUAUUCAAGGGAACUAAAUUUGAACUGGUUUCAAAUCUUGUUGCACUAAUUUUGAAUUCAAGGGGACUGUAUUUGAAGUUGUCGAACUACAAUAUGAAUGUAUGUGAACUAUUAGAAGUUGUUGAACUACAAUAUGAAUUUAUUAGAACUAAAAUUCGAUGCAACUUAACUAAAUUUGAAGUUGUUGAACUACAAUAUGAAUGUAAGUGAAUUAUUUUCAAAUCUUGUUGAACUAAUUUUGAAUUCAAGCGAACAGAACUUGAACUCGUUGAACUAAAAAAUAAAUGUUAGUGAACUAGUUUCUGAUUUUGUUGAACUAAUUUUGAAUUCAAGGAAACUAAAUUUUAACUAGUUGAACAAGAAUUUAUUAGAUGUGCAAUUUGAUUCAAGUGAACUGAAUUUGAACUGGUCGAACUAAAAAUUAAAUGUUGGUGAACUAAUUUCUAAUUUUGUUGAAGUAAUUUUGAAUACAAGGGAACUGAAUUUGAACUAGUAGAACAAGAAUUUAUUAGAUGUAAAAUUUGAUUCAAGUGAACUGAUUUUGAACUGGUUGAACUAAAAAUUUAAUGCUGGUGAACUAAUUUCCAAUUUUGUUGAACUAAUUUUGAAUUCAAAGGAACUGAAAUUGAACUAGUUGAACAAGAAUUUAUUAGAUAUAAAAUUCGAUUCAAGUGAACUAAAUUUGAACUGGUUGAACUAAAAAAUUAAAUGUUUGGUGAACUAAUUUCGAAUUUUGUUGAACUAAUUUUGAAUUCAAGGGAACUGAAUUUGAACUAGUUGAACAAGAAUUUAUUAGAUGUAAAAUUCGAUUGAAGAGAACUGAAUUUGAACUGGUUGAACUAAAAAUUAAAUGUUGGUGAACUAAUUUUGAAUUCAAGGGAACUAAAUUUGAACUAGUUAAACAAGAAUUUAUUAGAUGUAAAAUUCGAUUCAUGUGAACUGAAUUUUAACUGGUUGAACUAAAAAGUUAUUGUUGGUGAACUAGUUUCCAAUCUUGUUGAACUAAUUUUGAAUUCAAGGGGAACUUUAUUUGAAUUUGAUGAACUAGAAUUUAUGAGAAGUAAAAUUCGAUUCAAGUGAGCUGAAUAUGAAGUUGUUGAACUAUAGUUUGAAUGUAUGUGAAUGUCGGCAAUGCUAGGUCAACACCUAUGGGGAUCAACGUGAUACCCUUGAGAUAGUAGGGCGGGGAAAGACAACGUCAAGAGCAGACCUAACGAUCAACACCCGGCAAGCCUUUUUACCCAGGUUCGGGCCUCUUACGCGUAAAACCCUACGUCGUGCUCGUCUGAUCGUAUUAAGCGUUCUUUUGUCAUUCGUUACAGUGAUGAUAACUGUCUUCUUGGCCAAUCUUCAAAUGGACUAACCCCUUGUGAAUGAGCUAAGGGCCUCCUUUAAUAGGUGAAGGGGUCACCAACAGUGCUCGAUGGUAGGUUCACGAGAUGUUACAGUGAACCUAGAGCGGUGCUUAUCCAUCUAAUGCUGUUAGGUGCAUUAAAUGCACGUCUCGUCCUUGUCAGCGAAGUGUUGGUGAAGACAUGUGUCCAGGUGUUUCGACACCUGGACGCCCNNNNNNNNNNCUGGAACUCGGGGGGCGGUGGCACUAUGGCAAGGGCGGUUGCCUUCUACUGCCUUGCCACGUCAUCCCCGCAAGGGUGCUUGCCGAGGCCUUAGGUCUUCAUCCUCGCAAGGAAGCUUGCACGGGGCUUCGGAUGUCUUCCCGGCGAGGGGGGCUCGCCGGGGCCUUGUGCUUGGUGCGCUCAUCACGUCCAUUAAACAGACGUCUUCCCGGCAAGGCAGGCUUGCCAGGGCCUUGGAUAUCUUGGGGGUGUGUCUUGCCUGGACUCUGCCACGCCCUGCCGUUAGGGGUUCUUCGUGCCCGUGCAUAAGUCUGGGGCACUAAAGACCCCAGUUUUUAGUGCACCGACAGAGAACUAGUUUCAAAUCUUGUUGAACUAAUUUUGAAUUCGAGGGAACUGNNNNNNNNNNUAAUUUCAAGUUGUUGAACUACAAUUUGAAUGUAGGUCAACUAGUUUCAAAUCUUGUGAACUAAUUUUGAAUUCAAGGGGACUGAAUUUGAACUUAUUUCAAAUCCUGUUGAACAAAUUUUUAAUUCAAGGGAACUAGAAUUUGAUGAACUAGAAUUUAUUAGAAGUUGUAGCGACCCGACCUGAAACGGCCAAGUCUGUGGUGUUUCCGUACCAUGCCAAGAUCAUGUUGUUAGACACACAGUACCUCAAUGUAUAUAUAUCUAGAGUUCAAUAUCACAACUUUAUUAAUCGACAUGUGUCCUUGUCAGCUAAGUGUUGGUGAAGACAUGUGUCCAGGUGUUUCGACACCUGGACGCCCCGCUGGCGCAUGCGGAAUGCGGUGGAACUCGGGGGGCGGUGGCACUGUGGCAAGGGCGGUUGCCUUCUACUGCCUUCCACUUCAUCCCCGCAAGGGUGCUUGCCGAGGCCUUAGGUCUUCAUCCUCGCANNNNNNNNNNNNNNNNNNNNNNNNNNNNNNNNNNNNNNNNNNNNNNNNNNNNNNNNNNNNNNNNNNNNNNNNNNNNNNNNNNNNNNNNNNNNNNNNNNNNNNNNNNNNNNNNNNNNNNNNNNNNNNNNNNNGGGGCCUUGGAUAUCUUGGGGGUGUGUCUUGCCUGGACUCUACCACGCCCUGACGUUAGGGGUUCUUCGCGCCCGUGCACAAGUCUGGAGCACUAAAGACACCAGUUUUUAGUGCACCGAUAGUGAACUAGUUUCAAAUCUUGUUGAACUAAUUUUGAAUUCGAGGGAACUGNNNNNNNNNNGUGGAGCACUAAAGACACCAGUUUUUAGUGCACCGACAGUGAACUAGUUUCAAAUCUUGUUGAACUAAUUUUGAAUUAGAGGGAACUGUAUUUGAGUUUGUUGAACUAGAAUUUAAUAUAAGUUAANNNNNNNNNNNNNNNNNNNNNNNNNNNNNNNNNNNNNNNNNNNNNNNNNNNNNNNNNNNNNNNNNNNNNNNNNNNNNNNNNNNNNNNNNNNNNNNNNNNNUCAUAAAAUUGCCAAGAUAAGCGUGAGUGUCGUGGACGGCAUUUCCGUACGGAGACAGAAUGAUUCCACGAUAGUGUAUUGUUGUGGUGUUAGUGGACUCGUGUGCGAGAAAUCAAGUUGUAAAAAUUAUUUAAAAAUGCAAGUUGUCUAGCCACGAGUCAAAUGCUGGCUUUCUGCAUGAAACCCCACAAUACCUUUUUGAUACCUUGCAUGAGUAGUUAGUUAUCCUAAAGUCUUGCUGAGUACCUUCGUACUCAUGUUUGCUUAAUACAUCUUGCAGAGGUUGCUAAUGACCCUAAUGGAGGGUUCUUCGUAGACAUCGACGACGAUGAGUAGCUGGUGUCCCAGCUACGAUCUGGCCCUACGUUGGAUCUGUAGUAUAGUCAGGCCAUGUGCCUUCUAGUUGCCCUGUCUGUACUCAGACAGUUUAAACUCUUCCGCUGGCUUGUAACUGAAUGACUGCUAUUAUGGGUCGUGAGACCCUUAAUGUGUAAUAUUAUGUGUGUGGCUCUUCCGAGCCUCCUAAAUAAAGCUUGUAUGUUUGUGGUUAUGUUGUGAUGCCAUCGAUGUAUCUAUACAUAUCGGUAUGCCAUGCGUACGUGUGUCGUACUUGAUAUGUAUGGGGAUCGAUUACCUAGUCGUAAACUUUAGUAGCACUCCUUACGAGGAAAUGCUCCUUUGUGAUCCAACGAGCCUUGGUAGUUCGCUACUGCUCCGGACACAUUGGUUGACCGGCAUGUGUCCUUCUUAGCUGUUGUGUCUGUCCCCUUUGGGGAAAUGUCACGCGAUGUAAUGGAGUCCUUGUAGCUUGCUACGACUCGUCUACAUUCGUUGUUGACCGACACCGGCUUUGUUGGGUCAUGUAUGCCUGUCCUUGUGCGGUACUACCACUUUGNNNNNNNNNNNNNNNNNNNNNNNNNNNNNNNNNNNNNNNNNNNNNNNNNNNNNNNNNNNNNNNNNNNNNNNNNNNNNNNNNNNNNNNNNNNNNNNNNNNNNNNNNNNNNNNNNNNNNNNNNNNNNNNNNNNNNNNNNNNNNNNNNNNNNNNNNNNNNNNNNNNNNNNNNNNNNNNNNNNNNNNNNNNNNNNNNNNNNNNNNNNNNNACCGUGGAGUUAACCGUGGAGUUAACCGUGCGUGAGACCGCAAAGGGAUGCGAUGUGUUACGGGCUGGAUUCCUAUGGCUUAGGAUCGGGGUCCCGACAAUUUAUUAGAAGUUGUAGCGACCCGACCUGAAACGGCCAAGUCUGUGGUGUUUCCGUACCAUGCCAAGAUCAUGUUGUUACACACACAGUACCUCAAUGUAUAUAUAUCGAGAGUUCAAUAUCACAACUUUAUUAAUCAGUUCUCAUAUCGAGUACUUUAUUACAAUAAUGAUUACAAUAAAGUGGCUGAAGGCCAACUCAUGAGAUAACUAAACGAAGACUAGAGGAAGCUUCAAAAGUAGUUGAGUCCAUGUGACUCCAGGGCAUAUCACCGAGCGUAGACCAUGACCUCACUCCUGGUCGGAAAAGUACUCUGCAACAUGACACGUUGUAGCCGUCUAAGUCAGCAUAUUGAAUAUGCCGGCAAGUCACAAAAGAGAGGGGUGAAAAAGUAUCAUCUAUACUAUAUGCAUAUAUGGCAGCCGGGGUUGUAAGUUCUUAGCGGAAAGCAAAGUUUUCUGCUACAACACGAGAGGGAUAAAAGCAAAAUAUUACUACAAUGGUGGUUGUUAAUGAUAUGGUUCCACCAACCAAUUCUCAUACCCAAGUUGUCAAUAAUACCCACAUCAUUAAUAUUAUUUGUGUUGAGAAUUCAAGAUAGUUUCAGUUCCUUCGGCUCAAGUUGUCCAUGACCGUGGACACAGCUAAUCGAUUAGGUUAGGGUACUCUACAGAUUUUUGCACACGUUCCCCACAAGAUUUGAUCGCCUCCAUUAGAGUCCUCGCACUUCAGGGUGUUUGAGAACCGGAUGAUCAAAACAUGGUCUUUCAACGGGUUCCUCUGAGCCUCUGUCGGUGCCCAUCCAAUCCUACCAUUCUUCUACAUCUCGUAGCACCGCUCGUCCAGAGUCACCACGUUGUCCAACCAAGCCAGAGCCCAUAAUGACUUGUGGCUGUGCAGGUAAGCCUUGGGUCUUGAAGCAUCCAUCCAUCUCUUCGUGCGUGGGUGAAGCUUUCUGCAAGAUGUCAUGGCGCUUCUCCAUGCAUCCCAGGUUCUCCGCUAGUUUAUCCCAGGGAGCCCAUCUGAACCGUCCUUCACCCAGAGGUAUAUUGCAUCACGANNNNNNNNNNCCGGUCUUGAUUAUUAAAAUUCUCACAACACUCGUGAUAAACACUCAACCAUAAACCCGUCUACUAAGGCAUAGCAAAAUAAAAUUGAUCGUCCCGGGCCAAGUAACAAGGGUGAUGGGUGCCUACCACAUGAUACUACAUCAAGAUCCAAAUUUCCCAGUACCUACUUUACAUGCAAUUGGGUGAAGAAGGUAGAACUACAAUGCAUAUAAAACAUAGGUAAAGACAUGAUCAACGUGACUUGCUUUCUUGACGAUUAUCGAACUCGAGCGCGUCUAGAUAACAAGCUUCGCACUCUGGAUAAUAUAACGAAACAAAUUUUCACACAAUAAGCAUCACAAUAACAAGUAAUCAAAAUAAAACAACAAACGAAAAGUAACUAUAACAUGUGAGAGGAAAAAAUUGUCUUUCAAGAACCAAAACAGAAUCUGUUUUGUUAAAAACCCCAAGAUAAAAUAUCCUAAAAAUUCUGAAAUUUAACCUACUGAUAAAUAAGAUCACUAGUGAUGAGUAUUAAAAAAGAAUCAAUUCAAAAUCUAUUUUUAAACUCCAGAUAUUAACAAAACAAGUUUAACAGCAAAUCUGUUUAAAUUCAAAAUUUACAUUUUCAAACAUGGACUAAUUUGAUAUCUACAGAAACUAAAUAAAAUUUGUGACCCAAUGCAAAAAGAAUCAUCUCAAUUGAAGUUAUAGAUUAAAAGUUAUAAGCAAUCUAAAACAAGUUCAAAUCUGUUUCAGAAAUUAAAAACAGAAAAGAAUAAAAAUAAAGGGGUGACGUGGCAGGGUGUGAUUGGCUGAAGAUUGUGCGCAUUUUAGGCUAUCUAACGAAUGGCCGCAAUAUAAGAAAAACCCUUCGGUUUUAUAAUCUAACUAACAAAGAACCGGUGGUUUAUACUAACUAACCGAAGAGGUAAGCAGAACUAAGGGUGGGAAGAAACAAGAGAGAGAGGGAGAGCCUUACCGUUGACAGAGAAGCUCCGGCGAUGGCCGGUCGUGGUGGAGGCGGCGAGGGGAGGGCGCUCCGGCAAGGAAACGACGGCGGGGGAGGGGGGUCCGAAGGAGAGAAUGGCGGCGGGGACCCUGGUGGCGUCGGGGGUGGCCAAGCGACGAGGCGCUCCUGGAGCGAGGUCCUGGCAGGGAACCGACUAGGUGUGGGGCGAGGAGAGGGGGCUUUCUCUAGGGGAACAUAACGAGGAGGGCGUGGGGGUUCUUAUAGGGGCGAUGGGAGGUGCAGGGAGGCAAGAAAUGUCGCGAAUCUGGAAGGGGAUCGGCGCCCUGGUGAUUGCCUGGAAGCUCUCGUGCCUCGGAUGGAAGGCGCUGGAGGUGGAAGACGGUAGGAAUCGGGCUAGAUCAUUUUUUUUCUUAAUGGGCUCGGGAUAUUUUCCUAAUAAAAGAGAUUCGGUUUCCUAUUUAUUAAAAAUAGGAAAGAAAACCCGAAAAGGAAUUAAAUCCUUUUUCAAAAAAUAGGUAUUAUAUAUCAAAAUUCUUAGAAAAAUUCCCAUGACGUGGGCAUUUUAUUUUUCACAAAAUAAAAACUUCUAUUUAUUUUGGGGUGUCAUGUUACCGCCUCUCCUUCUUGCUUGGCAAGAAUAUUGUGAGAAAGAAUUUUGUGAUUGAAAUCUUGUGCCAAAAUAAUAUUCAAAUCCAAAACCAAAGGGAAAUUCGAAUGUCACAUUCACUGAAAUAAAAUGCAUAGAUGAUUAGCUACAAUUGUAAAACAUUCCAAAUAGGAAAUUUGCAAUGUUACAAACCUACCCACCUUAAAAUGAAUCUCACCCUCGAGAUUCGGGUUGGCUAGAAAAUAGGUGCUGGUGGUCUUGACGAGGAUCUUCUUCCCGUUCCCAGGUGGCUUCUUGCUCGGUGUGAUGACUCCAUAAUACCUUGCAAAACUUGAUGAUCUUGCUGCGGGUAACUCUGUUGGCAGUCUCGAGAGUCCUAACGGGUUUCACCUCGUAAGUCAGAUCGCUGUCAAGCUGUAUGGCCUCUAGGUGCACUGUGUCUCUCAACAGAAUAUUAGCCAUCUCAGCAUGGCAUUUCUUCAACUGGGAAACAUGGAAAACAUCAUGAACUCCGGACAAUCCUUCCGGAAAUUCUAGCUUGUAUGCAACUUCCCCCCUACGUUCAAGAAUUUUGUAGGGGCCAAUGAAUCUGGGUGCUAACUUUCCUUUUAAACCAAAUCUGGGUGCUAGCUUGUAUGCUCGGUUCUCCCACUCCGUAUGUUACUUCCUUGCGUUUGCUAUCAGCAUAACUCUUCUGUCUGGACUGAGCUAUCUUGAGUCGGUCACAAAUCAGCUUGACCUUCUCUUCAGAAUCUCGAAUAAGGUCGGGACCAAAAAGUUUUCGGUCUCCAACACCAUCCCACAUCAAUGGAGUUCUGCACCUCCUUCCACAUAAAGCUUCGAAAGGGGCCAUCUUCAGACUGGUCUGAUAGCUAUUGUUGUAUGAGAACUCGGCGUAAGGUAAAUUGUCAUCCCAGCUAGACCCAUAGUCUAGCGCGCAAGCUCUCAACAUGUCCUCCAGAAUCUGAUUGACUCUCUCGGUCUAUCCAUCGGUCUGUGGGUGAAAAGUUGUACUGAAUUCCAAUCUCAUUCCCAAGGUUUCGUGUAGUUGGUGCCAAAACUUUGACGUUAAUUGAGUUGCUCUAUCUAACAUGAUACUAUUCGGAACUCCAUGCACACAUACGAUCCUGUUCAUAUAUAUCUUGGCCAGCUUAGCACUCGUGUAGGUAGUCUUCACGGGAAUGAAGUGAGCUACCUUGGUCAAACGAUCGACCACUACCCAGAUAGAAUCAUAACCUGAACAGGUCCUGGGUAAUCCUAUGAUGAAGUCCAUACCAAGCUUCUCCCAUUUCCACUCGGGUAUCAGCAAAGGUUGAAGUAAUCCUGAUGGCUUCUGAUGCUCGGCCUUUACUCGCUGACAAACAUCGCAAAUUGCUACAAACUCGACGAUAUCCUUCUUCAUUCCUGUCCACCUGAAACCUUCCUUUAAGUCCAGAUACAUCUUGGUGUUUCCUGGAUGUAUCAAGUAUGGGGAAUCGUGGGCUUCGAGAAGUAUCAACUUCAUGAGUUCAGGAUCAUUGGGCACAUAGAUACGGUCCUCAAACCAUAUAGUUCCAUGUUCAUCCUCACGAAAACCUUUAGCCUUCCCGUCAUUCUUUCUUUGCUUUAUCUAAGCUAUCUCCUUGUCUGACUUCUGUUCUUCACGAAUUUUUCCGGUCAAGGUGGACUCAAUCUCCAGCAUGGCUACAAAUCCUCUUGGAACUAUCUCCAACUUGAGCUCUCUAAGAUCGUCGGCUAACUCCUGGGAUAAUCCUCCUGCUAUGAGCGUGUUCACAUAACUCUCACGGCUCAAGCGAUCUACUACAACAUUUUCCUUCCCUACGUGAUAAUGUAAUCUCAUGUCAUACUCCUUGAUCAACUCUAGCCAUCUCCUCUAUAUGAGGUUCAACUCCUUCUGCGUGAAAAUAUAUUUCAUGCUCUUGUGAUCAAUGUAGAUAUCACAGCUUUUUCCGAUAAGGAAAUGUCUCUAGGUCUUCAGAGCGUGCACUACGGCUGCUAACUCCAAAUCAUGUGUGGCAUAAUUCAACUCAUGAGCUCUGAGCUGUCUGGAUGCAUAGGCUACAACUUUUCCUUCUUGCAUGAGUACUCCUCCAAGUCCUUGACGUGAUGCGUCACAAUACACCUGGAAAUCCUUCCGAAUAUUCGGCAAUAUGAGCACUGGGGCUGUAACCAAACGUUUCUUCAACUCUUGGAAACUGGCUUCACAUUCCUCGGUCGAAUUAUACUUGGACUCCUUCUUCAACAACUCUGUCAUGGGCUUGCAAUCUUCGAGAAGUUCUUGAUAAACCUCCGGUAAUAUCCGGCAAGUCCGAGAAAACUGCGGAUCUCCUUAACUGAGGUGGGUUCUAACCAUUCGGUGAGUGCUGCAACCUUGGCUGGAUCCACUGCUAUCCCGUCUCCGGAAAUAAUAUGUCCGAGGAAUCCGACUUCCUUCAACCAAAAUUCACAUUUAAUGAACUUCGCAUACAACUGAUGCUCUCGAGGCUUCUCCAAAACUAACCGCAAGUGUUCCUUGUGUUUUUCCUCGUUCUUGGAGAAUAUCAGUGUGUCAUCAAUGAACACCACGACAAACUUGUCCAGAUAUUCCAUAAAUACCUUGUUCAUCAUACUCAUAAAAUAUGCAGGAGCAUUGGUCAAUCCGAAUGACAUGACUGUGUACUCAUAUAGAUCAUACCUCGUGGUGAAGGUUGUCUUGGGUAUAUCCUCUUCAUGGAUUUUCAACUAAUGAUACCCUGAUCGAAGAUCGUUCUUGGAGAACAUUCGGGCUCCAACUAACUGGUCAAACAAAUCGUUGAUCAUCGGCAAGGGAUACUUGUUCUUGAUGGUCGCCUCGUUCAAUGCACGAUAAUCGACUACCAUUCUUAAGGAUUUAUCCUUCUUCUCAACCAAGAUAACUGGGGCUCCCCAAGGUGACGAACUUGGGUGAGUAUACCCUUUGUCAAGUAACUCCUUGAUAUGCUUCUUGAUUUCUUCUAAAUCAUUUGCGGGCAUCCGAUAGGGUCUCUUGGAUAUUGUGGUUGUUCUUGGUAAUAACUCAAUCAGAAAAUCAAUCUCCCUAUCUGGUCGCAGGACUGGCAAUUCCUCAGGGAAUACAUCUGGAAAGUCUUGUCCGACCGGCACUUCCUCCUGAACAACUCCCAUGAGAGAUUUCACCCGCUUACUCUGUGAUGGGCGUUGGGAAACGUACUUAAUCCGUUUUUUCUCUGGGGUGGUGAGCAAAAUAGACUUAAGGGCACAAUCAAUGUUUCCUUCAUACUUGGUCAACCAAUCCAUGCCUAAGAUUACAUCCAAUCCCUGCGACUCUAAUAUGAUGAGGUCGGUCGGAAAUUUAUGAUUUCCGAUGUUGAGGCUCAAAGCAUGGCAUCCUAUCCCGGCUGUCAUCAUGCCCCCUGGGGAACUGACUUUAAUGGGCUGACUGAGGGUUCUAGUUGGUAAACUAUACUUUUCGACAACUACCCUUGAUAUGAAUGAAUGUGUUGCACCAGAAUCAAAAAUUACCAGUACUGGACGUGAAUUUAGCAAAAACUUACCAACCACCAUAUCAGGGUGAUCAUAGACCUCUUCAACAUCAAUGUGGUUCACCUGAGCUCGGGGAAAAGGAUUGGGCUUCCUUGCUGCUGAGUAACCAUUGCUGUUUCCAUUUCCCUGCUUGUUCUGAGGACAGUCAGUGGCAUAGUGUCCCGUCUUGUGGCACUUGAAGCAGGUGAUAUGGUUCAGAUCCUUCUGAGCUAUAGCAGGGUGGUGCUGAGUGCCAUUACCUCCAUUGCCAUUCUUGAAGUUGUCGUCGUUGCGGUUAUUCCCAUUUCCUCCAUGGUUGUGGCCUCCAUGGUUGUGCACUGGAUGGUUAUGCUGGAUGUGUCCUCCAAACUUAUCGGAACCUGCUCCGGUAUUCCCUGGAUAGGGGGUGUAACGGGGCUUCUGCUGAACUCCAGAAUUGAACUUCCCAUGUCCAUACUUCCGUUUGCGGUUCUCCAUUUGCUGAUGUUUCCCCUCCAAGAUGAGGGCCUUAUCUACCAGCUCCUGGUAGUUGUUGAAGUUGGCCACAGUGAGUUGAAUGCUCAACUCAUCACUGAGUCCUUCCAUGAACUUAUCCUGCUUGGCAACAUCAUCGGCCACAUCUCCAGGUGCAUAUUGGGCGAGCAUGCUGAAUUCAUCAACAUACUGAGCCACCGAGCGAUUUCCCUGGCGUAAGUUGUGAAACUCACGCUUCUUCAGACUCAUGGCUCCAGCUGAGACAUGAGCGGUGCGGAAGGCUUGCUUGAAAUGCUCCCAAGUCACACCAGCAAUGGGGUAUGUGGUGGUGUAGUUCUCCCACCAUGCAGCUGCGGGGCCUUCAAGUUGAUGCGCGGCAAAGUGCACCUUCUCAGCUUCAGUACAUCCAGCAGUGAUUAGUUCCCUCUCCAUCUUGCGGAGUCAAUCAUCUGCCACAAUGGGCUCAACGCUGCUGGAGUAAUUCGGAGGGUUCAACCUCAAAAAGCGGGUGAGAUUGUCGGCCUCGGGUGGAUGAUGGUUGUUGUUAUUGUUCUGGUUCUGAAUGAUCAAUUGCAUCAGGGCAUUCUGUUGUUUGAUCAACUGAGUGAGUUCCGGCGGGAAGUUGGAAGCAGGGUCACGUCUUGGAGGCAUCUGGUGUUUGUAGAGGGAUGGCAUUAGCAUAGAACAUGGGUCUAAAUAGAAAAUACACUACCCAUAUGACAUGCAAUAAACAAUUUUCACACCACACAUUCAUUCAUUUAUCACCUCAAAAGGUUCAAACACGGGUUUCUAAACAUCGGCCUAAACGUUUAACGAUAAGCUAAAUUGGUGGACUUGUCUAUGUGUCCUCCUCAGAAAAGCAUGGUGGUGGGUCCGUCGAUAGAGCUUGCUUCGUAGUCCUCCUCAUUGCUAAUCAAGGGGUCUACAUCUUCUUCAGGGUGAAGGUUUUCACCCAUGUCCAAUUCUACUUCCAGAUAUGGGACACGAGCCUUGAGCUUAUCGAUCCUCUCCAGGAAGUCCUUCACGUCCAAUUCGUGCUCGUAGUGGGCUUCUCGGGCUUCGUCUUCGAAGUUGAGUUCGCGGAGUGACAGAUGCUUGAUCUUCCUUGUGUCCUGGAUUACACGAAGCUCCAGAGUCCCGAUGUGUGUCUCCAAGGUCUGGGAAUAGGACAGGAGAGCGUCUUUAGUCUUGGUCGUGAUGAUGUCUCCAUCAGGUCCUCUUCGGGAGACCGUGAAUAGGUCCGGUGAAAUGGGGCAGCCUCUGUGCACAAUGAACUGCCAUGACCCUUCCGAGAAUCGAGCUAGGUGCGAUGAACUUGAAGUCCACAGGUUCGGUGUGCGGCUCAAAAGUUCUUCUGGGGAUGUGCACCUCAAUCCUGUAGCGUGCAUGUGCCGGGUAAGACGAGGUAGGCUUUCCGGUGAUGGUUUGCAGAUAAAUCCUUAAGUCCUUGGUGAUCUGCAUCAACUCCUUUCCGAAGGGCAUUGUGGUGUCGGGCUGACAAAACUCCGUGACCUUAACUGGGAUGAAGGUGGCCAUCUAGAAAAUAUUGGAAGAUUGGAGAGAAGUCAGAAAUGAGCAGCAGAGAAAUAUAGAAGAUAUAUAGAUAUAAGAAAAUAGUUUUCUUCCUAAGGCCUUUCCGAUCCUAGAGGUUACGUCCUACGGUCAGCGUGUGCUCUGAUACCGUAUAUGUAGCGACCUGACCUGAAACGGCCAAGUCUCUGGUGUUUCCGUACCAUCCCAAGAUCAUGUUGGUACACACACAGUACAUCAAUGUAUAUAUCGAGAGUUCGAUCACACAACUUUAUGAAUUGGAUCUCAUAUCGAGUACUUUAUUACAACAAUGAUUACAAUAAAGUGGCUGAAGGCCAACUCAUGAGAUAACUAAACAAAGACUAGCGGAAGCUUCAAAAGUAGUUGAGUCCAUGUGACUCUAGGGCAUAUCACCGAGCGUAGACCGUGAUCUCACUCCUGGUCGGAAAAGUACUUUGCAACAUGACACGUUGCAGCCGUGUAGGUAAGAAUAUUGAAUAUGCCGGCAAGUCACAAAAGAGAGGGGUGAAAAAGUAUCAUAUAUACUAUAUGCAUAUAUGGCAGGUGGGGCUGUAAGUUUAUAGCGGAAAGCAAAGUUUUCUCUUACAACAAGAGAGGGCUAAAAGCAAAACAUUACUACAAUGUUGGUUGUUAAUGAGAUGGUUCCACCAACCAUUUCUCAUACCCAAGUUGUCAAUAAUACCCACAUCAUUAAUAUUAUUUGUGUUGAGAAUUCGAGAUAGUUUCAGUUCCUUCGGCUCAAGUUGUCCAUGACCGUGGACACGGCUAAUCGAUUAGGCUAGGGUGCUCUGUAGAGUUUUGCAGACGUUCCCCACAAGAUUUGAUCGCCUCCGUUGGAGUCCUCGCAUUUCAAGGUGUUUGAGAACUGAAUGAUCAAAACAUGGUCUUUCAACGGGUUCCUCCGAGCCUCUGUCGGUGCCCAUCCAAUCCUACCGUUCUUCUACAUCUCGAAGCACCGCCCGUCCAGAGUCACCACAUUGUCCAACCAAGCCAGAGCCCAUAAUGACUUGUGACUGUGCAGGUAAGCCUUGGGUCUUGAAGCAUCCAUCCAUCUCUUCGUGCCUGGGUGAAGCUUUCCGCAAGAUGACAUGGCGCUUCUCCAUGCAUCCCAGGUCCUCCGCCGGUUUAUCCAGGGGAGCCCAUCUGAACCGUCCUUCACCCAGAGGUAUAUUGCAUCACGAAGUCUCGAAAGUCUUGGAAUAUUCGGUCUUGAUUAUUAAAAUUCCCACAACGUGAUAAACACUCAACCAUAACCCCGUCUACUAAGGAAUAGCAAAAUAAAUUUAUCGUCCCGGGCCAAGUAACAAGGGUGAGGGGUGCGUACCACAUGAUACUACAUCAAUAUCCAAAUUUCCGACUACCUACUUUGCAUGAAAUUGGGUGAAGAAGGUAGAACUACAAUGCAUAUAAAACAUAGGUAAAAACAUGAUCAACGUGACUUGCCUUGUUGACGAUUGUCGAACUCGAGCGCGUCUAGAUAACAAGCUUCGCACUACGGAUAAUCUAACGAAACAAAAUUUCACAUAAUAAGCAUCACAAUAACAAGUAAUCAAAAUAAAACAACAAACAAAAAGUAACUAUAACAUGUGAGAGGAAAAAAUUGUCUUUGAAGAACCAAAACAGAAUCUGUUUUGUUGAAAACGCCAAGAUAAAAAAUAUCCUAAAAAUUCUGAAAUUUAACCUACUGAUAAAUAAGAUCACUAGUGAUCAGUAGCAAAAAGAAUCAAUUAAAAUAUAUUUUUAAACUCCAGAUAUUAACAAAACAAUAUUUAAAGAAAAUUUGUUUAAAUUCAAAUUUUACAUUUUCAAACAUCCACGAACUUUAUAUCUUCAGAAACUACAUAAAAUUUGUGAUGCAAUGCAAAAAGAAUCACCUCAAUUGGAGUUAUAGAUUAAAAGUUAUAACCAAUCUAAAUACAGGUUCAAAUCUGUUUCAGAAAUUAAAAACGGAGAAGUAUAAAAAUAAAAAGGCGAUGUGGCAGGCUAUGAUUGGCUGAAGAUCGUGCGUGUUUUAGGCUAUCUAACGGACGGCCGCAAUAUAAGAAAAACCCUUUGGUUUUAUAAUCUAACUAACAGAGAACCGGUGGUUUAUUCUAACUAACCGAAGAGGUAAGGAGAUCUAAUCUCAGCCAUAUAUUUAAGAUCUAAGGGUGGGAAGAAAUAAGGGAGAGAGGAAGAGCCUUACCGUUGACAGAGAAGCUCCGGCGAUUGCCGGUCGUGGUGGAGGCGGCGAGGGGAGGGCGCUCCGGCGAGGAAACGGCGGCGGGGGAGGUGGAUCCGGCGGAGAGAGUGGCGGCGGGGGCCCUGGUGGCGUCGGGCGAGGAGAGGGGGCGUUCUCUAGGGGAACAGAACAAGGAGGGCGUGCGGGUUCUUAUAGGGGCGAUGGGAGGUGCAGGGAGGCAAGAAAUCUCGCGAAUCCGGAAGGGGAUCGACGUCCUGGUGGUUGCGUGGAAGCUCUUGUGCAUGGGAUGGAAGGCGCUAGACGUGGAAGAUGGUAGGAAUCGGGUCGGAUCAUUUUUUUUUCUUAAUGGGCUCGGGAUAUUUUCCUAAUAAAAGAGAUCCAGUUUCCUAUUUAUUAACAACAAGAAAGAAACCCCGAAAAGGAAUUAAAUCCUUUUUCAAAAAAUAGGUACUAUACAUCAAAAUUCUCAAAAAACAAUUUCCCACCAUAUGGGCAUUUUACUUUUCACAAAAUAAAAACAUCAUAAUUUUUUUUUUUAAAUCCAAAUAAAAUCCAAAUUUUGCCUUUAAAUUUUUUGGCACUAUUUUCUUCUGACUUCUAUUUAUUUUGGGGUGUCAUGUUACCUCCACUCCUUUUUGCUUGGCAAGAAUAUUGUCAGAAAGAAUUUUGUGAUUGAAAUCUUGUGCCAAAAUAAUAUUCAAAUCCAAAACCAAAGGGAAAUUCAAAUGUCACAUUCAUUCAAAUAAAAUGCAUAGAUGCUUCGCUAUAAUUGUAAAACAUUCCACAUAGGAAAUUUAGGAUGUUACAGAAGUGAAAUUCGAGUCAAGUGAAUUGAAUUUGAAGUUGUUGAACUACAAGAUAAAUGUAGGUGAACUAUUUUCAAAUCUUGUUGAAGUAAUUUUGAACUCAAUUUAACUGAAUUUGAAUUGGUUGAACUAAGUAUUAAAUAUGGUGAACUAGUUUCCAAUUUUGUUGAACUAAUUUUGAAUUCAAGGGAACUAAAUUUGAACCAGUUGAACAAGAAUUUAUUAGAUGUAAAAUUCGAUUCAAGUGAACUGAAUUUGAACUGGUUGAACUAAAAAAUUAAUGGUGGUGAACUAGUUUCCAAUCUUGUUCAACUAAUUUUAAAUUCAAGGGAACUCUAUUUGAAUUUGAUGAACUAGAAUUUAUUAGAAGUAAAAUUGGAUUCAAGUGAACUUAAUUUUAAGUUGUUGAACUACAAUUUGAAUGUAGGUACCUAGUUUCAAAUCUUGUUGAGCUAAUUUUGAAUUCAAGGAACUGUAUUUGAAUUUGAUGAACUAGAAUUUAUUAAAAGAAAUUUUGAUUCAAGUGAACUAAAUUUGCACGUGUUGAAUUACAAUUUGAAUGUAGGUGAACUAGUUUCAAGUCUUGUUGAACUAAUUUUGAAUUUAAGAGAAUUGAGUUUGAAUUGGUUCCAAAUCUUGUUGAACUAAUUUUGAAUUCAAGGGAACUGUAUUUGAAUUUGAUGAACUAGAAUUUUUGACGAGUAAAAUUCGAUUCAAGUAAACUGAAAUUGAAGUUGUUGAACUACCAUAUGAAUGUAGGUGAACUAUUUUGAGUUUUGUUGAAGUAAUUAUGAAUUCAACUGAACUGAAUUUGAACUGGUUGAACUAAAAAUUAAAUGUUGGUGAACUAGUUUCCAAUUUUGUUGAACUAAUUUUGAAUUCAAGGGAACUGAAUUUGAACUAGUUGAACAGGAAUUUAUUAGAUGUAAAAUUCGAUUCAACUGAACUGAAUUUGAACUGGUCGAACUAAAAUUUUAAUGUUGGUGAACUAGUUUCCGAUCUUGAUGAACUAGUUUUGAAUUCAAAGGAAAUUUAUUUGAAUUUGAUGAACUAGAAUUUAAUAAAAAUUUAAUUCGAUUCAAGUGAACUAAAUUCAAGGAAUUGUAUUUGGUUUUGAUGAACUAGAAUUUAUUAAAAGUAAAUUUUGAUUUAAGUGAACUAAAUUUGAAUUUGUUGAACUACAAUUUGAAUGUAGCUAGACUAGUUUCAAAUCUUGUUGAACUAAUUUUGAAUUCAAAGGAACUGAAUUUGAACUAGUAUCAAAUCUUGUUGAACUAAUUUUGAGUUCAAUUGAACUGUAUUUGAAUUUGAUGAACUAUAAUUUAUUAGAAGUAAAAUUCGAUUCAAAUGAACUAAAUUUGAAGUUGUUGAACUACAAUAGGAAUGUAGGUGAACUAUUUUCAAAUCUUGUUGAACUAAUUUUGAAUUCAACUAAACUGAAUUUGAACUGGUUGAACUAAAAAUUAAAUGUUGGUGCACUAUUUUCCAAUUUUGUUGAACUAAUUUUGAAUUUAAGGGAACUGAAUUUGAACUAGUUGAACAAGAAUUUAUUAGAUGUAAANNNNNNNNNNCGAUUGAACUGAAUUUGAAGAGGUUGAACUAAAAAUUUAAUGCUCGUGAACUAGUUUCCAAUCUUGUUGAACCAAUGUUGAAUUCAAGGAAUUGUAUUUGAACUUGCUCAACUAGAAUUUAUUAAAAGUAAAAUUUGAUAUAAGUGAUGUGAAUUUGAAGUUAUUGAACUAUAAUUUGAAUGAUGUGAACUAGUUUCAAAUCUAGUUGAACUAAUUUUGAAUUCAAAGGAACUGAAUUUGAAUUUGAUGAACUAGAAUUUAUUAGAAGAAAAAUUCGAUUCAAGUGAACUGAAUUCGAAGCUGAUGAAUAUGAAUGUAGGUGAACUUUUUUCAAAUCAUGUAGAACUAAUUUUGAAUUCAACUGAACUGAAUUUGAACUAGUUGAACUAAAAAUUAAAUGUUGGUGAACUAGUUUCCAAUUUUGUUGAAAUAAUUUUGAAUUCAAGGGAACUUUAUUUGAAUUUGAUGAACUAGAAUUUAUUACAAGUAAAAUUCGAUUCAAGUGAACUGAAUUGGAAGUUGUGGAAAUACAAUUUGAAUAUAGGUGAACUAGCUUCAAUUCUUGUUGAACUAGUUUUGAAUUGAAGGGAACUAAAUUUGUACUAGUUUCAAAUCUUGUUGAACUAAUAUUUAAUUCAAGGGAACUGUAUUUGAAUUUGAUGAACUAGAAUUUAUUAGAANNNNNNNNNNUAUACGAUUCAAGGGAACUGAAUUUGAACUAGUUGAACUAAAAAUUAAAUGUUGGUGAACUAAUUUCCAAUCUUGUUGAACUAAAUUUGAAUUCAAGGGAACUGUAUUUGAAUUUGAUGAAAUAGAAUUUAUGAGAUAUAAAAUUUGAUUCAAGUGAGCUGAAUUUGAAGUUGUUAAACUACAAUUUGAAUGUAGGUGAACUAGUUUCAAAUCUUGUUGAACUAAUUUUGAAUUCAAGGGAAUUGUAUUUGAGUUUGUUGAACUAGAAUUUUAUAAAAGUUAAAUUCGAUUCAAGUGAAAUGAAUUCAAGAAAUUGUAUUUGAAUUUGAUGAACUAGAAUUUAUUAAAAGUAAAAUUUGAUUCAAGUGAACUGAAUUUGAAGUUGUUGAACUACAAUUUGAAUGUAGGUGAACUAGUUUCAAAUCUUGUUGAACUAAUUUGAAUUCAAGGGGACUGAAUUUGAACUCGUUUCAAAUCUUAUCGAACUAAUUUGUCACUCCCUCGAUCCCUAACUAGGGUUUAGUAUUUGUGCUCAUGUCUUCUUCCAUUGCAUUCAAGAAUUUGAANNNNNNNNNNAGAUCCUAUCUGUGAAGUGGACCACAAAACGCUUGAUCUCCAAGAUAACCUUUCAUACCGAGAAUACCCUGUGCGUAUUCUUGAUCAAGCUGAGCGUACCACUCGACGUCGAAAGCUCAAUUUUCUUAAAGUUCAAUGGUCAAAUCAUUCCGAAAAGGAGGCAACAUGGGAAAGAGAGGAUCGUCUCCAACUUGAGUAUCCCGCGCUAUUCCCGACGACUUCCAAAUCUCGGGACGAGAUUCUUUUGAGUGGGGGUGAGUUGUCACAUCCCUGGAUCCCUAACUAGGUUUUAGUAUUUGUGCUCAUGUCUUCUUCCAUUGCAUUCAAGAAUUUGAAACAAACUCCAAAGAAGUGGUGCAACUUAAACCAAAAACCCUAGCCACUUCUAAUUCAAGGAAAUUAAAAUCUUGCCAAAAUCAAUGAACCCAAAAUGGCCUUCUUAAAAGUUCAAUAUUUCUGAUAAAUAUUGAAAACAAUUUAUCAGGGGAGAAAACUACUUUCAAAUCACUUUUGGCAUUUUAUUUAAAACUAGCAAGUCCCUGAAUUCAAACUUAUAUUUGAAUUCAAAAAUAUAUAAGCUUUCAAAAAUGCUGAAAACUUUAUGGGUGAUUGGAAAUAUUCCAACUAACACCCCAGCAUUUUUCAAACUUUUUUUAGUUUUGAUUUAAUGCAAAAAAAUAAAUAGCAACAGGUAUCAACAAAUAAAACAGAAACAGAAAAAUAGAAAAGUUCUAUCCUACGCUCACCUUGGCCCGGCCCACCUCCACGCUUGUCUUCUUCCUCCUCGCCAGUGUGCAGCAGGAGGUGGCGCCGCGUUCUCCGGCGCGCCCGCGCAGCUGCACGCCUGCCUGCCUCGCCUGAUGCGCUGGAGGGUGGAGAUAAACCUCCCCGCAGACGUUCCCGAGCUCCCCCCCUCCUCAUUCUUCCCCUGCUCUCUCUCCUCCCGGCCGCCAUUGGAGCCCGAGCAGAGCUCGAGCUCGCCGUCGCUCUGGCCUGCCUCCUUCCCUCGUGAGCCGCGCACAAGAACCGCCAGGGUCCCCUGAAGCUUCCAAUCCACGAGCUCGACGCCGAGACGCAGUGAAACACCGAGAAGCCGCCUUCUUCCUCCUCGGAUCGCCGACGUUCAUCGCCNNNNNNNNNNNNNNNNNNNNNNNNNNNNNNNNNNNNNNNNNNNNNNNNNNNNNNNNNNNNNNNNNNCAACGAGAAGUCGCCUUCUUCCUCCUCGGAUCGCCGACGUUCAUCGUCGUCGUUCUUCCUCCUUAGGCCUCGCCCGAGCCUACUUUCAACGCCUCUGCACUCCUCGUGAGCUCAGGAUCCUUUCCCCUCUAUUUCCCCUCUCGAUUCCGAGGCCUAGCCCAUGAUUCCACCGAAGCCCGACGAUGACCGCCGCGGUAGCUCGUCGCCGGUGGCUCUCCGGUGAUCGGCUCGUUGAUCUGAGGCUUGCAAACGCUUUAGCACAUCGCGUAGAUGUCGUAGGAGCCUAGCCCCGCGCGUGAUGCCCCUGUUUCGAUGACCCCGAUCACGCCCGAUCUUCGUACGCCGCCAAGCUCGUCGCCGGUAUCAUCUCCGGGCAGAUCAGCCCCGGUUCUAUGCAGAAAUGGAACGACGGGUGAACGCUGGUCAGUGUGAUGCCUUCUGCCGUGUAAAUGGUCGUCAGAAUGGGAUUUCCGAGCCCCUCUGCCGUUCUGGUGGUCGCCGGAGGCUCACCGCCGGCGAGGACGACCUCGCCGCCGGUGGAUCUGACCCCCCUGAGCCUUUGACAGGUGGGGCCAGCCCCUGGUUAAUUAAGUUUAGGAUUAGUAAAAAUAAUUAAUUAAAUAAAAACAUAAACAGUCACUGACAUGUGGGUCCAGCCCUGAUAAUUAAUCUAUUAAGUGAAAUUUAAACUAAAAACUGGCUAGAGUCACUGACCAGUGGGUCCCACUGGUCAGGUUUGACUUUCAACGGCCAGUUNNNNNNNNNNNNNNNNNNNNNNNNNNNNNNNNNNNNNNNNNNNNNNNNNNNNNNNNNNNNNNNNNNNNNNNNNNNNNNNNNNNNNNNNNNNNNNNNNNNNACGCCUGAGUUGCGAGACGUGGAAAACAUCAUGAACCUUGGAAAGAUGCGGAGGAAGUUCCAACUGGUAGGUAACUUCUCCUCGUUUGGCAAGAAUGCGAAAAGGACCAAUGUAACGAGGAGACAACUUGCCCUUGAUACCGAAUCGAUGGGUACCCUUCAAAGGUGUAACCCAAAGGUAAGCCUUCUCGUCAACUUCAAAGGUCACAGCCUUAUGAUGACGAUCAUAUUGGCUCUUUUGACGAGACUGGGCUGUUUUCAACUUUUCACGAAUAAUGCGAACCUGCUCUUCUGCAUCCUGGAUCAUAUCCGGGCCAAAGAGUUGCCUCUCUCCGGUUUCUGACCAAUUAAGAGGUGUUCGACAUCUUCGUCCAUAGAGAACUUCAAAAGGAGCUUUGCCUAAGCUUGAUUGAUAACUACUGUUAUAAGCAAAUUCAGCGAAUGGAAGGCACUUCUACCAAUUCAUACCAAACGAUAUAACACAAGCUCAGAGCAUAUCUUCUAGGACUUGAUUCACUCUUUCUACUUGACCACUUGAUUGAGGAUGGAAAGCAGUGCUAAAAGAUAAGUGAGUCCCCAUAGCAUUCUGAAAACUCUCCCAAAAGCGAGAAGUAAAGAUACUUCCACGGUCUGAGUUAAUCUCCAGAGGAACACCAUGAAGAGACACUAUCCGGGAGAUAUAUAACUCUCCUAGCUGGCUAGCUGUUAUACUCUCACGAACUGGAAGAACAUGAGCUACUUUGGAGAGACGGUCAAUGACCACAAAGAUAGCAUUAUUUCCUUUCNNNNNNNNNNGAUGAAAUCCAUACUGACUUUAUCCCAUUUCCAUUCAGGAAUAGCUAAAGGUUGAAGGGUGCCAGCAGGCCUUUGAUGUUUUGCCUUAACUCGACGACAAACGUCGCACUUAGCAACGAACUCAGCAAUUUCUCUCUUCAUCCUAGUGCACCAAAACCUCUGGCGUAGGUCCUGAUACAUCUUAGUACUACCAGGAUGAAUGGUGAGAGGAGAAUCAUGAGCCUCCUUAAGGAUCAAUUGCCGCAGACGUUUGCACUUAGGAACCACUAAACAGUUCCAAAAGAACACAAUACCUUUCUCAUUGAUCGAGAAAUCCUUAGCGUUUCCGCUAGCAAUAUUCUCCUUGAUCUGGGAUAUACCCUUAAAAUAUGCCUGCACGGCUAUGAUUUGAUCCCUAAGAGUAGGCUUCGCCACCAGGGUAGAAAGGAAUCCUUGAGGAACAAUAUGAAGAUUUAACUUCCGAAAUUCCUCAUAGAGACCUCGUUGUAGCAUCAAAUUGUUACAAUAAGACUUACGACUUAGUGCAUCAGCCAUAACAUUGGCCUUCCCCGGGGUGUAAGUUAUUCCCAAGUCGUAAUCUGUGAUCAACUCAACCCACCGUCUUUGCCUGAGAUUCAAAUCCGGCUGGGUGAAGAUAUAUUUCAGACUUUGGUGAUCCGUGAAUAUUUCGCAACGAUUACCAAGAAGGUAAUGUCGCCAGGUUUUAAGUGCAUGGACUACAGCUGCAAGCUCAAGAUCAUGCGUGGGAUAAUUAUCCUCAUGUGGACGCAAAUGUCGAGAUGUGUAUGCAAUCACAUGACGAUCUUGCAUGAGAAUGCAACCUAAUCCUUGUCGCGAGGCAUCNNNNNNNNNNNNNNNNNNNNNNNNNNNNNNNNNNNNNNNNNNNNNNNNNNNNNNNNNNNNNNNNNNNNNNNNNNNNNNNNNNNNNNNNNNNNNNNNNNNNACCAUUUUAAUUGAUUCGACCUGAUGCUCAGAUCAACUUGCUUUUAACCUGCAUGGAAAUGACAUGUUAGGUUGCUGGUUUGUGAUUUGGACAAUGUUUGAUCAUAUCAUUUGAAGUGGAAUUUAAAUAAUUUCCAAAUUUCAUCUCCAAAGUAUUUAUAAGAGUUAACUUAUUCAUUAAUCUAUAUGUUUGGGUUCAGUAACAUUUUCAAACAUGUUUGACAAUGACAUAUUCAGAUUCUUUGAAUUUUUCUGAUACUUUUUCAUAUAUAAAUUUUUUUCGUUGGACUUACAGAUUAUUUGCUAUGAUUUUUAGAAGUUUUAGACAUUUCUGGAAUUAUUUUUAUAUUAUAAAAUCCUUUAUUGCGUCACAGUGAUAUCUCUGGUCAACAGGGGCUGGGCCAGGUCAAACCUGACCUGUGGGGUCCACUGGUCAGUGACCAGGGGCUAAUCCCUGAGUUGACCAGCCCCUAACUGGGGUUUGACCCACCCUGGGCCCACUGUCAGCGGCUGGGGGGUGUUAGUGGGUUAAUUAGGCUGACGACGUCGAACCUCACCGGAAUUUCGCCGGCGACGACCAAAACAGUGGCGAGUUCUCGCCGGAGUUGAUCAAACUCGCGUUACAGGCAUCGGUUUUGGGCGUGGUUUAGUUCUACGGCUAGCUAGCGAAGCAUCGCAUCCAGAGGGGAAGGAGCUGGACCAGGUGGUCCCCGGAAUCCACGCCGGCGACGAGGUCAGCGGCGGCUGCGGAUCGGGCAUCGUCGGGAGUGGCGUUGCGGGACACUAGCAAGAUGGGAGAGGGGCUCUACGGCAUCUACAGAGCUCCAGGAGCUCAUUACUUAGCUCGGUCUCGCGAACGGGGUACCACAACGACGACAACGACAUGGCCGGCGACGAGGACCUUUGGGCUCCGGCGUCUAACGGGGUUAGAGGAGGGGAAUGGCAUCGGGAAGAGGGGGAAUGGGAAGAGGGGCUCACGACGGUUCUUCUGAGGCUGACGGCAGGGUCGGCGAGGACCGGGAGGCGACGAAUCGGCGGCGACCAGAGCUCCUGGGAGAGAGAGAUCCGAGAGGGGAGGGGAACGAGAGGAAGAGAGGAGGAGAUAAGGCAGAGGGGAGGAGGAGGAGAAGAAGGCACGGGGCGUCGCGCUGGCGCUCCUGGGGGCCUCCAGCGGCGAGCAGGCAGGCAGGAGGUGGUCGGGGCUGGCCGCCGUGCUCAUCUUCCCCUCUGCCUACUCACAGGAGGAGGAAGAUGACCAGGGAGCCCCUCGUGGGCUGGGCGUCCUCACGCGAGAGGUAGGUUUUUCCCCUUUUCUUUCUAUUUUGUUUCUGUUUUAUUUAUUGACAUUGUUUUUCAUUUAUUUUGGCUUCACAAUCAAACUAUAAAUAGUUUGAAAAAUGCUGGGUGUUAGUUGGAAUAUUUCCAAUCACCCAUAAGGUUUUGAAAGCUAUAAAAUUUUGAAUUCAAAAUUAAAACUUGAAACCAGUAGUCUUUUGCAUUUAUUUAAAAUGCCAAAAGUAUUAGGGAAAUGGUUUCCUUCAUUGCUUUUUUGUUUUCAAGAGUUAUCAGAAAAGUUGAACUUUUCUUGAGGCCAUUUUGGAUUCAUUGAUUUGAAUAAGUUUAUAAUUCCUUUGAAUUUGAGAAGUGCCUAGGGUUUUUGAGUUUUCCUUCACCACUUACUUUGAUCUUGUUGUAAUUUUUUUGGAUGCAAUGCAACGAAGAUUUGAGCAAAAUGCUAAACCUUGGUUGGGGUUCAAAGGAUGUGACAAUAGAUAAAUUUAUGUUUCAAAAUGCAAAUUUGAAAGACUCAUACUCCUCCCUAUUUGAAUUGGUUAUAUACGACCGACAAAACUGAAAAGAAGAUAUAUAUCAUGUAUUUAUGUUUAGUUCCUACUCCUCUUUUUUUGAUGCAGUUUCUGUAGUUUUUGCAUUUCUUUCUUGAAGUUGUUUAUGCAGUUAACUAAAAAUAGCAUAGCAAACUAUUGUAUACCUUACGUUUUGUCAACUUCUGUAUACUACUCCUCUUUCGUUUCGGAAGUGUCUGCAGUUUUCUGCACUUCUUUUUUAAAAUAGUUUCAACAGUUAAUAGCAAACUUCCGUAUAUCUUCUGUUUGUCAACUUUUGUAUACCUUCUGUUUUACUUCUCAAUGAUUUUUCCCUCUAUAUUAAUAUUAUUGAUACAUUGUGUUUUGUAUGUAGGAGAACAUACCAAUGUACAGAAUGAUCUCUGCAUUCAAAUUAUUCAAAAGUACCUUGAAUCAAUUGAAAGAAGAAGAUCUGCCACAAAGCUACUGAUCUUAGGAUUCCUUGUCUUACAAUUGUCAAUGUGUAAUAGAAUGCCAAUUUCUGCUAGGAACAACCUUUCUUAAUGUGGGCUAGUUUUGAGUUUUAUUAUUGUCAUAUGUAAUACUAUGUUAGCACAUACUCGUACAACUACUGCACAAUUUUCUUUUGUGACUAUUGUUGGAACACUAUCAAGGUGAAAUAUUUGGAGGAGACCAAAUUAAUAUGUUCCUUUUCUUAUUGUGGAUGUUUAUCAUACUUUUUGGUUUUUUGUGCCUUCUAACAUCUCCACUGGAUAUCAACAGAAAGUUUUGG